rnacentral:lncRNA from 1 species
ACCCUACCCCACCCUAGGUUACCCACCGGCAGCUGCAGCAAGGUCUCUUUGUCGAGGCAUCGGGCGAUCCAUUUGUUUGAUUUCUCUUCUUCCUGCCUUGUGAUUAUCUCGUGUGACUGACAAGUCGUGGCAAUUUAGGUAACUUGCUUAGUAGACGGUAUUUCCCGUGUUUGAGACCCCGUAAAAAAAAAGUAUCUCGUUGUUAUCUUGGUUCCAUAAGUAGAGACAUGAUGUAAUCGCACUCAGUUUAUUCUAUUUUUGCUUGUUAUUUUCACUUCAAUGGAAAAUUAUGUUUCCUUUCUUGUUAUGGUCUGUAUGCCCGCAUUUAGAUGCAUCCUAUCAUAUGAAUUAUGAUUCGGUUUGGUUUACUUUCGCCGGUGUAUGAUUGCUGGCAAAUGGAGCAUGUGCAGUGCUUUGACCUGCCUGUUUUGAUACUCACAGCUAGCACUUGUGGGUUGUGGCAUAUAAUUGGAGAUCAUGGAGAGCAUGUUGGCAGCAGGGUAUGUUUUGUAUGAUAUUGGUGUUGGUGUGGUAUCUGCUGCAAUAGGAUAUUGUUGAUAUGUGUAUCUGGCUGGGUACAAUAUCUGCCAGUCAGACAGGCCACUACUUCUAUUGAUUUUAAAACUUGGAUACACAUGCCAUUGUGUGUCAAUGGGGCACUAAAUCUUUUGGGUGGAUAUGGUCUUGUUUGUUGGCCACCACUUGCCAGAAGCAUUGCAACGCCGCCUGUUUGUAGAAAAUGGCCAGCCAACUGAAUUUGUCUGACGCUGUAACUCAAACAUGAAUCCCUUGACGCCUCCCCUCUGCCUGCCCCCCCGCCGGUCGAUGAUGGGGAGGAGAAUCCCAGUGCCUCCGCUCCCAUUGGUAGUUUAGAUUAAGAUUUUUGAGUCCUUGCAGGUGGCGCUUGGGUGGAUGGCAGUGUUUCUUUCUCGAGUUUGUCUUCCGGGCUUUGAUCCUCUUUGAGUUCGUCUUUUUGGAUGUAGUCAACAAGCCUUGGGUGUAGAUUCAUGUCGUCUUCUUGGGACGGUGAGGUUAGGGUUUCUCGUUGUGUGCCGAGAUUUGCUGUAGGUGCUUCAGAUCUAUUUAAGAGUUCAAUGGCAACAUCUGCGGCUCUAGGGCGUUGGUCAUUAGAGGCACGUGCACGAAGACUUAUUGGCUGUCAUCGACAAGGUCAAGCUGGCUCUGAUAGCGUAGCAGCAACAACGAGAAUAUAAAUAUAAUUUUUAUUAUGUUUGAGGUACUUUGUACUUCCGGUGAACUUUGAUAAUAGAUCUGGAUCAUUUUUGCAAAAAAAAAACCCACCUCAAUCGUACUCGCGUUCGGCUCCACACCACUUUUCCUUAUCCUAUCCCUAUCGAAGCUUCUCAUCCUCACAUCGUCUUCCUCCAUGAUCUAAUCCUCUUUGUACUCUCUUUCUCUCCGCCGCCCCCUCCUCCUCCAUUCACCUCCUUCGCCAACACAAGCAGAGACUCCCAUGCCACCGCUGCCAGUAAUGAACCCCUCCUAUCUGGCCAACACUUACUGCUGCCCACACAACUACAACCCAUGGGGAACCUCUGUCAUUGCUGCAAGCAGAGGAGAGACGCACAACACCGACCACCCCGUUGCCACUAGUUGUGAAGUCAACCGCCACUUCUGCAGGGGUGCGUUCUGCUGAUAAGUGCUUGCCGCACCGCCUCUCGAGGAUGAGGCAUUGCUGCAAAGGAGAGGUCGCCAACGACUGGGGAAGACCACUAGGCGGCAUAGAUGUUGCAAAUCGGUAGCCGACGCAAUGACCCUGCGCAACUCACCGACAAGGGAUGCUGCAAUGUAACAUGUGGUAUCGCGUCCCCGUGGAUCUCACCAGUCGAGGGAGCUGCAGUGCAACACACGUGGUGCUGUGACCCGCAUAUCUCGCCGGUGGCGAAAGUUGUAAUGCAAUAUGCGUGGUGCUGCCCAGCGACGACGGAGCUGCAAUGGGUGGUGCACGACCGAUGGAUCUCGUCGUCGGCGAAGCUGCAAUGCAGCGGGGAUGUGGUGCCCUGACCCGCUGAUCUCGUCGGCGGGGGAAGCUUCAAUGCUGUGGGGGAGACGAGCUGCUGACCUCGCCGGCCGUCAUCUGCUGCAAGGCGUCGAUGCUACCUGGCCGGUGCGGUAACACGAGACUGAGGGCGAUGUGAUGGAGGGGGUGCUGCGAUGCAGAGACGACAUGGUCAUUUUCCGCUUGGUUGCCCACGUGGCCCAGCUGUAUAAUCGGACGACAAUGCCUCAUCCAACGCUUACGAGGCGGUUUUACAAUUAGCUCGUGUUAGAAUUUUAUUAGUAUCUGGUUGGACAUAAGAGCAACUCUAAUGAGGCGACCCAUUUUGUUCGUGGCCGUCCGUUUGGGUCGGCGCGGACAAAAAAGCCGGCCCAACGCGCCGACCCAAAUGGACGCGUGUCCGCUUUCGUCCGCCUGCCGACCCAUUUUCGGCCCAUUUUUUAGCCUGAUUUGCGUCGGCGCGGACACAAGACGGACGUGCGCGCGCUCGCCCUCUUUUCUCACCGGGCCCGCUGGUCGGUGGCACAGUAAAUUCAACCCUCGCCCGCCUGCUACGUCGCCGACGCCGCCGGCCAUUUUUUCAGUACAUAGAUAGUUCUAGCAUACACAGAUAAAAGAAAAAGACCACUAGUCGUCGCUUUCUGACUCCGACUUGGUAAUGUCCUCCUCCGACGUUUGAAGGUAGGCGUCAGCAAGCUGCUCGUCUUUAAAGUCCCAACCCAACGUUUCUCGUAGCUUCAGUUUCAAUUGAGCUGCCUGCUUCCGCGAACGCUUGUCCUCCCGAUAGGCGGCUCGCUCCCUCCUCCUCGCGUCCCUCUCCGAUCUCAAUUGCUUGUAGAACUGGCGCUCGUCGACGAUGUCCUACGGGUAGCCUCCGCACCACACCACCAAGGCUUCCACGUCCUUCUCUGCGAUGGCGAGGCGACACUGCCGCCUCCGGUGGACACGAGGAUCCUCGUCGGUGAAAAGCCGCGGGAGAGGCGCCAGAUCCUGCGCCGCUGGCUCGACACGUUGGGAAAAUUCAUAUCCCGACGAGGCCUCACGAGGCGCCACGCCGCCGCGUCGUGCGCGCGGGCCGCCUCCUCUGCAGUGUCGAAGGUACCGAGGACGAGACGUUUCUCGCGAAACCAGAUCUCGGCGGAGAAGGCGCCGGAGCGGCGCUCGCGGACUCCGCGAAAAUCCGAAGCGCCCAGGCGGCGGAUCGACAUGGUGGCGCAGAGGCGGCGAGAGUGGACGGCCGACAGAGUGUGGAGGGAGUGCCUUCUUUAUAGCGAGCGUCGGCCGCGGCGCGCGCGCGAACCUUUCCCGCGCGCUGGAGCGCCAAAACCAGCGCGCGCUAGGCCGCUUUCCCCCGCGCGCGAACCUUUCCCACACGCUGGAGCGCUAAAACCAGGGCGACGGCAUGAUGUUAAAUGCGCGCGAUCAUGAAAUGGGUCGGCCUGUUGGGUGCACUGCCGACCCAAAACUAAAAAAGGGCGGACGGCGGGCGGCCGGCCGACCCAAACGGAUAAAAAACGGACAAAAAUGCCGUCCGUUUGGGUCGGCCCGUUGGAGUUGCUCUAAGAUAGAUUAAACCAUGUACUCUAUACAAAAAGAGUCGGCCAUUUUGUAGGCCCGUUAUAGAAAGAAGAAAUACUCGGCUUUCCUUUGACGAGAUUUUUGUCGAAUAAAUAGAUAUACAAUCACUAAAUAUUUUUAGGAUGAAAACAGAAAAUAAGGAUGAAGAAAAAUAAAAUAAAAAGGAAACGACGCCUGAGAGAUUCGAACUCUCGCGGGGAAACCCCAUGUACUUAGCAGGCACACGCCUUAACCACUCGGCCAAAGCGUCGCUUGUCUCACUGCUCUGAGACCACAUUAUAUGUUCGCUGUGUCAAGGCCCAUCUUAAGGCCUUAGAGUCCAUGGGCCAUAUAAUGGGACGUAACUAAGAGAGCUGCUUCGGCCUGCAUUGCCCAUAGGCCCGCUCAUCUUUUUCUGUCUGUAAUCUUCUAAAAAAAGAACUGUUUUUUCUACGUGUGCUGGGCACUGGUGCUCAGCGUCGUGCCUCGUCCAGCCGAAGACAGACAAGAAGACAGGGGCUAAUGGUGCACAGCCGCGCUGUUUAGUUGGAGGGAAUGGAAAUAUCAAAAGUUUCAAGGGGAAAUGCCCUUUGGUUCUUGGUGUAUAUACAUCUGAUAUAAAAUUUUAAAGAUAAACGUUUAUAGCCGGUCGACCGGCCGAGCGUUUGGCCGGUCCCCUCGCUCGCGUCGCUAGGCAGCCCAGGCCCAUCACCCACAGAGCUUAUCUCUAUUCCCACCACUUCCAUCUUAUCCCCUCGCUCUUUCUGGAGACCACACGAGGCAUCCUCGCCCUGCUCGCUCUUCAGUCCCCAAGUUCUCAAUCUCUCCUCCUCCUUCGUGUGUUCUCUCCGAAAUUCACACCUAAUCCCCAUAAAAUUGAGCUCGUUUUUGUUGCCUUCUCUGCUUCCCGCAACAUUUUUCCUCCCUAGGUCCAUGAGAGGGGUGAGCUCGUCCGUGCUUUUUUGCUUUUUUUCUCUCAUGCCUUGUGCAGUCUGCCAUGGAUCCCACGAGGUUGGGCUCAGGCACAUGCAGCACAUGGUUUGCACAGAUGUUGCAAACCAGCAACUACGACGGUGCUACAACCACUGCUCGUCGUCAUGGCUGGGCUGCAAUCGACCACGGCGAUGGUGGAUUUUUUUUUGCUACAACCAUGUGUUGUUUUUGCUGGAACUGGCCCAUGUUUUUGCUACCACCCACCCGCCCAAUUUUUGCUACCAGGUGAUUUUUGCUGCAACCGAUGAACCAUUUUGCUACUACCGUUUCGAUUUUUUGUUACUACCGGUGUUUGUCGAUUUUUGCUACAUCCAUCUUCUGUUUUUCCUAUCUUUUUUUGCUACAACCAUAUUUUGUUUUUGCUGGAACUGAAGACAUUUUUUGCUACAUCCACCCACGGUGAUGGCUUUUUUUUGCUACAACCGUCUCGGAUUUUUGCUACUACCGGAGAUGCCAUUUGCUACCACCGGAGUUUUUGCUACUGUCAAAGUCUUCCUGGAAGCAUCAGGGAGUUUUUGCUAUCACCCCUUGUUUUUGUUUUGUUUUUGCUGGAACCAUCCUAAAAAUUGCUACCACCGUCUUUUGAUUUUGUUGGAACUGGCAUUUUUUGCUUCGGUGUCGGCGGUGAAGGCGGGUGAUGUUUUGGUUCGCUGGCGGCGGUGAGGCUCCGAGCGCCGGCGACGAGCAGGGGCAGCGGUGGUCCAAGCGAGAGCAGUGCGGGCCAGCGUGUGGGAUCCCGCGAGCGGCGGCGGCGCUUGCUUUUUUUCUCCUCUUUUUUCCCGUGUGGGAGGAUGACGAUAGGAGAUGCGGGGCAGAUCUGAUGGUUAUGUGCAUCCAGAUCGAGCGGCUCUGGUUUGACCGGCCGAAAUGUUCCGCCGGUGCGCCGACGCAGAGUAUUGCCCAUUUUUAAAGUGAAAAUAUUAGAAAGAUUUUAGAAUAAAUUUGAUUUUUUUGCACUAGUAUAUAAAUUUUCAUGAAUAAAAAACCAGCAUUGACUUCAAGGCAAAAACAUAUUUUAUUGCUAUUAUAGGUCACUAUUUACACUAUUUUGACCGAUUUUUAAAAGAAGUUAAAAGGUUUUUAUUUCUUUUUGUGGAAUUUUUGUUACAAGUACAAUGGAAGGUCAAGUUUCUUUCAUUUUUUUCCAGAUUUUUAAAACUUUUUAUAUAAUUAUUAAAAAGUUACAUACAGGGUAUAUGCACCCAUAGACCAAGCGUUCCAGUCCAGGGUUUGAGGCGCUAGUUUGAAGUCUAAAUUCCCACAAUUUUAUUUACAAGGGAAGUGAGAAUUGGAGCAGAAGUGAUGUAACUAUCUUGAGAUUUCAUUUUUCUUUUGAAACAAGGUAAAAGACUUACCAUUUUCAUUGAUUAAGAAGGAGUGAGAAUUGCCCGGUUAAUUGACGGAAAACCUGGCUAAAACCGAUACAAUCCAACCCAUAUAACAUGGGUAUCACCGGCCAACCUGGCCACCGACAUGGGAUCACAGAGCUACAACAGCUGCACCAAAACCAUGACGGCACAUGCCAAUAGAAGGCCACACGCGCGAACAACUGACAGCUCCGACUCUGACGACGAUCAUCACAAGGGAAUAUGCAGGACUUGCGCCGACCGUGCCCGCCGUAGCAACCAACGGGCACCUCGGACACGCCGGGAAGAUCCGACUACCGAAGCCCGAGCCGCGACCAAAGCUCCUCUCGAAGCCAUCAUCGUUGCCAAACAGAAAUCAGCGCCCCGAAAUGGCCGCCUCAGCAAACUACACGGCGAAGAUGCCGCAAACCACGCGGCAAAGAUGCCGCAACCCACGCGGCGAAGAUGCCGCCAUCCACUGGUCUCCAGGUUGUGGCCGGCUCCGAGACGAUGCCCCCAAGGAGGAAGAAGACGUGAAGGCGUCUUCAUCGCCCGAUCUCGAAGAUCUGAGGUUUCCCUCCGGAGCCAAGGCCGCGGGAAGGGGGGAGGAGCACCACACAACAACAACGCUUCCAAGAAAGAGCACGAUGCCCACGGGGGUCGCCGUUGCCAGAUCCGGCAGAGGCCGGACAUAGGAUUUCUCCCGGAGAUGCUCAACCACCACCUGCCCGCAUCAACGCAGCCAACGAACCCCAUCUUGCCGAGGCCGACCUCGAACUGGCCGUGGGAUCCCGAGACCCACCACGCCUAGAUGCGCGCACCACCCCCCAGCCGAAGCCGCUUCCACCAAAUCCGGGGCCGCCGCCCGGCAGCCGCCACCACGCCGGGCUAGCAAACUGGCCAGCUCCUUAGCACCAAGCCGGGAGGGGGGGCCGCCACCCCGCCCCAACCCGCCGAGCAGGGCUGCUGGGCCGAAGCCGGAGCAACCCACUGCAGCCGCAGCACCGCCGGGAGGAGCCUCGUCCAGCAGCCAGGAGCCGCCGUCCGCAUCCCCACUCGCCGGAUCCACGCGCCAGGAGCCGCCGGAGCGCCGCCAAUCGCCAUGCCGUCCCCGCCAGAUCCCGUCGAGGGGCAUCAAGGCCGCACCCGAAGCAUGCGCCACCACGCCCCUCGCCGCGCCAGCACCACCUGGCCGCGCCCGCCUGCGCACCGCUUGCCGCCACCCCGCGCUGCCUCGCCGCGCCGCCCCGAGCGCCAGUGCGCCCGAGCUCCCUCUGGAUCGGCCGACCCGCGCCGCACCAUCUCGAGCGGGAGGAGGAAAAGGAACCCCGCCGCCGCCGAGCCGCGCGGGCUUCGCCCGGCGACUCCUGCCGGCGGCGGCGAGGGGAGGGGGCUGCGGGGUGUGGCUAGUGGCGGCGGCGGCUAGGGUUCGCUCCUGGCCACCCGCGGGAGCGACCGAGGAGCGAGAUCUUGAGAUUUCAUUAUAUCUGCUUAUCCUUCGUGACUUCCCAUUAACCAAACUAAGGAAUACCCCUCCCUGAAAUUCCCACAACUAAGGGCCUAUUCUGAAGUCCUCCUGCUCCACACUUCACAAACUCUUUGUGUGGAGCCUAGCCGACCGGAAUAGCUGCAAGAAGCAGCUUCAGGAACUUGUGCUCAAUCGCGGUGUAAAAACCUGGAGCGAGGAAUGACCAGCUCCACCGAAACAAGAAUAUGGAGUUCACCCAUAUUAAAGCCGAAGUGCCACUACCGAACAUAAAGAUUGUAGACGCUUGCACAAUAUGGUUUUUCUAGUUCCUUAUUGAGGUGAUUGUGCUUAGAAUAAACAUUGGACCCUGAUAAGUGCCAGACGACAGAGGUAAUAAAUAACACAUGACAACUCCAAACAUUUUUAUGGUAAGUUCAGUUAUGCGAGGAUGGCAACUUUAGUUGGCAAGCAUGAUAACUUCGUGCUUCAGUUUAUUUUUGACAGAAAACUUGUCGUGUGUCACUGGAAUUGCCAUCGAAAAACGUCAGAGCCGGAGUGCCACACACCUGACAUGUGGCACUUAUCAUUUGGGUAAACAUUUAGUGACGUUAACACCAUUUAUGCAAUAACAUAACUAUUUUUUUUUCGAAAAAGAGGAGUAACCCGACCUCUACAUUGAAUGAUGCACACAACCAUUUGUUAAGGCGAUCCAAGUAACAAAUUUCCGAGUAAAAGCUUCAGUAAAAGAAAAAUUACCAACGGCAAACAUAGGACAAUAUGCCUACACAUAUUCUAUUAUUAAAUCGCCAUCUAAAUCGGUUGCAUGUAGCCCAUGCUAUCAUCUUCCCAAUGUUUGCAUCCAUAGGCCAUAAGCUCCCUCGCUUCCGUAUGGUGUAGUAAUGACCACGUAUAGAUCUAUCAAAAUGCUCUGUAGAUAACUUGUAUUUUUUUUGAAUCUUUGUUCUGUUAAACACACAACUGUUCCGUCUGCCUCGAAUAGCCCAAAGUAAUGUAUAAACUCCCACAUGUAUUUGUGCCGCCAUAUUGGGCUCUAUCCUGCCAAACCAGUUACCAAACAAAUUUGAUAUGCUAAUAUGUGGGGUUACAUUAAACAACACAUGUAUUGUUCACCACAGAAGCUUGGCAAGUGGGCAUCAAAGAAAUAAGUACUGAAUUGUUUCCUCGUGGCCACAGAAACAACACUAUUCACUACUUUCCCACCUACGUUUUGCCAAAAUGUCCUUGGCGAGGAUCACAUCCUUAUGCACAAACCAAAUGAAAAUCGUAAUCUCUAAAAAACCUUUGGUUUUCUAGAUAUUAAGUGACCCGAGAACCAGUUCAGCAUUAAUCAACUCCACGUAUACUGAUUUAACGAAAAACACGCCUGAAACCGAUAGUGUCAAUCGAAAUGAGUCAAAGCUCAUUAUAUAAGGUGACUUCCAUCACCCUUCGAACUAAAUGCAACCCUCAUCCCAUCUUUCCCCAACUAGGUCCCGUCUGAACUGUAUGUUUGAGGGAACCGUCCCUAGUAUUGUAUACACAUAGGUGAAGGAAAUAUGCCCUAGAGGCAAUAAUAAAGUUAUUAUUUUAUUUCCUUAUAUCAUGAUAAAUGUUUAUUAUUCAUGCUAGAAUUGUAUUAACUGGAAACUUGAUACAUGUGUGAAUACAUAGACAAAACAAAGUGUCCCUAGUAUGCCUCUACUAGACUAGCUCAUUAAUCAAAGAUGGUUAAGUUUCCUGACCAUAGACAUGUGUUGUCAUUUGAUGAACGGAUCACAUCAUUAGAGAAUGAUGUGAUGGACAAGACCCAUCCGUUAGCUUAGCAUUAUGAUCGUUGAGUUUUAUUGCUAUUGCUUUCUUCAUGACUUAUACAUGUUCCUCUGACUAUGGAGUAUGCAACUCCCGAAUACCGGAGGAACACCUUGUGUGCUAUCAAACGUCACAACGUAACUGGGUGAUUAUAAAGAUGCUCUACAGGUGUCUCCGAAGGUGUUUGCUGAGUUGGCAUAGAUCAAGAUUAGGAUUUGCCACUCCGUGUAUCAGAGAGGUAUCUCUGGGCGCUCAGUGUAAUGCACAUCACUAUAAGCCUUGCAAGCAAUGUGACUAUUGAGUUAGUUGCGGCAUGAUGCAUUACGGAACGAGUAAAGAGACUUGCCGGUAACGAGAUUGAACUAGGUAUGAGGAUAACGAUGAACGAAUCUCGGGCAAGUAACAUACCGAUGACAAAGGGAACAACGUAUGUUGUUAUGCGGUUUGAGCGAUAAAGAUCUUCGUAGAAUAUGUAGGAGCCAAUAUGAGCAUCCAGGUUCCGCUAUUGGUUAUUGACCGGAGAUGUGUCUCGGUCAUGUCUACAUAGUUCUCGAACUCGUAGGGUCCGCACGCUUAACGUCCGAUGACGAUUUGUAUUAUGAGUUAUGUGAUUUGAUGACCGAAGUUUGUUCGGAGUCCCGGAUGAGAUCACGGACCUGACGAGGAGUCUCGAAAUGGUCAAGAGGUAAAGAUUGAUAUAUUGGAAGGCUAUAUUUGGACAUCGGAAAGGUUCUGAGUGAUUCGGGUAUUUUUCGGAGUACCGAAGAGAUACCAGAAUUUGCCGGGGGAAGUAGUGGGCCUUAAUGGGCCAUACGGGAAAGGAGAGAAGGGCCUCAAGGGGUGGCCGCGCGCCCCCCAUGGCAAGUUCGAAUUGGAGUAGGGAGGGGGCGGCGCCCUCCUCUCUUUCAUUCUCCCUCUCCUACUCCUUCCAUCUCUUCCCUCUUGGAAAAGAAAGGGGACUCCAACUAGGAUUGGGAAUCCUAGUUGGACUCCCCCUAUAGGCGCGCCCCUCCUAGGCUGGCCUCCUCCUCCCUCCUUUAUAUACGUGGCCAAGGGGGCACCCCAAGACACACAAGUUGAUCUUUAGCCGUGUGCAGUGCCCCCUCCACAGUUUUCCACCUCAGUCAUAUUGUCGUAGUGCUUAGGCGAAGCCCUGCGCCGGUAACUUCAUCAUCACCGUCACCAUGCCGCUGUGCUGACGAAACUCUCCCUCGGCCUCAGCUGGAUCUAGAGUUCGAGGGACUUCACCGAGUUGAACGUGUGCAGAUCGCGGAGGUGCCGUGCGUUCGGUACUUGAUCGGUUGGAUCGCGAAGACGUUUGACUACAUCAACCGCGUUACUAAACGCUUCCGCUUUCGGUCUACGAGGGUACGUGGACACACUCUCCCCGCUCGUUUCUAUUCAUCUCCUAGAUAGAUCUUGCGUGAUCGUAGGUGAAUUUUUUGAAAUACUACGUUCCCCAACAGUGGCAUCCGUGCCAGGUUUAUGUGUAGAUGUUAUAUGCACGAGUAGAACACAAAGAGUUGUGGGCGAUAAUAGUCAUACUGCUUACCAGCAUGUCAUACUUUGAUUCGGCGGUAUUGUUGGAUGAAGCGGCCCAGACCGACAUUACAUGACCACGUUCAUGAGACUGGUUCUACCGCCGUGCUUCGCACACAGGUGGCUAGUGGGUGUCUGUUUCUCCAACUUUAGUUGAAUCGAGUGUGACUACGCCCGGUCCGUGUUGAAGGUUAAAACAACACACUUGACGAAAAAUCGUUGUGAUUUUGAUGCGUAGGUAAGAACGGUUCUUACUAGAAGCCCGUAGCAGCCAUGUAAAACUUGCAACAACAAAGUAGAGGACUUCUAACUUGUUUUUGCAGGGCUUGCUGUGAUGUGAUAUGGUCAUGACGUGAUGAUACAUAAUUUGUUGUAUGAGAUGAUCAUGUUUUGUUAAAGUUAUCGGGCAACUGGCAGGAGCCUUAUGGUUGUCUCUUUAUUGCAUAAGAUGCAAGCGCCAUAUAAUUGCUUUACUUUAUCCUUAUGCGAUAUCAAUAGUUGCAAAAGCAAUAGUUGGCGAGACGACCAUGUGACGACACGUUGAUAGAGAUCAAGAUGAUGGAGAUCAUGGUGUCAUGCCGGUGACGAUGGAGAUCAUAACGGUACUUUGGAGAUGGAGAUCAAAGGCACAAGAUGAUGAUGGCCAUAUAUAUCAUGUCACAUAUUUUGAUUGUAUGUGAUGUUUAUCUUUUAUGCAUCUUAUUUUACUUAGUAUGACGGUAACAUUAUAAGAUGAUCCCUUACUAAAAAUUUCAAGGUAUAAGUGUUCUCCCUGAGUAUGCACCAUUGCGACAGUUCUUCGUACCGAGACACCACAUGAUGAUCGGGUGUGAUAAGAUCUACGUUCACAUACAACGGGUGCAAGCCAGUUUUGCACACGCAGAAUACUCGGGUUAAACUUGAUGAGCCUAGCAUAUGUAGAUAUGGCCUCGGAACACUGGAGACCGAAAGGUCGAGCGUUAAUCAUAUAGUAGAUAUGAUUAACAUACUGAUGUUCACCAUUGAAAACUACUCCAUCUCACGUGAUGAUCGGACAUGGUUUAGUUGAUAUGGAUCACAUGAUCAUUUAGAUGACUAGAGGGAUGUCUAUCUAAGUGGGAGUUCUUAACUAAUAUGAUUAAUUGAACUUUAAUUUAUCAUGAACUUAGUCCUGAUAGUAUUUUCAUAACUAUGUUGUAGAUCAAUAGCUCGCGAUGUAGCUCCCCGUUUAUUUUUGAUAUGUUCCUAGAGAAAAACUAUGUUGAAAGAUGAUAGUAGCAAUGAUGCGGACUAGGUCUGUGAUCUGAGGAUUACCCUCAUUGCUGCACAGAAGAAUUAUGUCCUUGAUGCACCGCUAGGUGACAGACCUAUUGCAGGAGCAGAUGCAGACGUUAUGAAUGUUUGGCAAGCUCGGUAUGAUAACUACUUAAUAGUUUAGUGCGCCAUGCUUUAUGGCUUAGAACCAGGACUUCAAAAACGUUUUGAACGCCACGGAGCAUAUAAGAUGUUCCAAGAGCUGAAAUUGAUAUUUCAGACUCAUGCCCGAGUCGAGAGGUAUGAGACCUCUAACAAGUACUUUGCCUACAAGAUGGAGGAGAAUAGCUCAACCAGUGAGCAUGUGCUCAGAUUGUCUGAGUACUACAAUCGCUUCGAUCAAGUGGUAGUUAAUCUUCCAGAUAAAAUAGUGAUUGACAGAGUUCUCUAGUCACUAUCACCAAGUUACUGAAACUUUGUGAUGAACUAUAAUAUGCAAGGGAUGACGAAAACGGUUCCCGAGCUCUUCGUGAUGCUGAAAUUGACGAAGGUAGAAAUCAAGAAAAGCAUCAAAUGUUGAUGGUUGACAAGACCACUAGUUUCAAGUAAAAUGGCAAGGGAAAGAAAGGGAACUUCAAGAAGAAUGGCAAGCAAGUUGCCACUCCGAUGAAGAAGCCCAAAGCUAGACCCAAGCCUGAAACUGAGUGCUUCUACUGCGAAGGAAAUGAUCACUGGAAGCGGAACUGCCCCAAAUACUUGGCGGAUAAGAAGGAUGGCAAAGUGAACAAAAGUAUAUAUGAUAUACAUGUUAUUGAUGUGUACUUUACUAGUGUUCAUAGUAGCCCCUGGGUAUUUGAUACUGGUUCAGUUGCUAUGAUUAGUAACUCGAAACAGGAGUUACAAAAUGAACAAAGACUAGUUGAGGGCAAGGUGACGAUGUGUGUUGGAAAUGAUUCCAAGGUUGAUAAGAUCACCAUCGCACACUCCCUUUACCUUCGGGAUUAGUGUUGAACCUAAAAUAAAUGUUAUUUGGUGUUUGCGUUGAGCAUAAUAUGAUUGGAUCAUGUUUAUUGCAAUACGGUUAUUCAUUUAAGUCAAAGAAUAAUUGUUAUUCUGUUUACAUGAAUAAAACCUUAUGUGGUCAUACACCCAAGGUGAAUGGUUUAUUGAAUCUCGAUCGUAGUAAUACACAUAUUCAUAAUAUUGAUGCCAAAAGAUGCAAAGUUGAGAAUGAUAGUGCAACAUAUUUGUGGCACUGCCGUUUAGGUCAUAUUGGUGUAAAGUGCAUGAAGAAACUCCAUGCUGAUGGGCUUUUGGAAUCACUUGAUGCUUGCGAACCAUGCCUCAUGGGCAAGAUGACUAAAACUCCGUUCUUCGAAAAAAUGGAGCGAGCAACUGACUUAUUGGAAAUAAUACAUACUGAUGUAUGCGAUCCGAUGAGUGUCGAGGCUCGCGGCGAGUAUCGUUAUUUUUCUGACCUUCACAGAUGAUUUGAGCAGAUAUGGGUAUAUCUACUUGAUGAAACAUAAGUCUGAAACAUUUGAAAAGUUCAAAGAAUUUCAGAGUGAAGUGGAAAAUCAUCGUAACAAGAAAAUAAAGUUUCUACGAUCUGAUCGCGGAGAUGAAUAUUUGAGUUACGAGUUUGGUCUUCAUUUGAAACAAUGUGGAAUAGUUUCGCAACUCACGCCACCUGGAACACCACAACGUAAUGGUGUGUCCGAACAUCAUAACCAUACUUUAUUAGAUAUGGUGCAAUCUAUGAUGUCUCUUACCGAUUUAUCACUAUCAUUUUGGGGUUAUGCAUUAGAGACAACUGCAUUCACGUUAAAUAGGGUACCAUCUAAAUCCGUUGAGAUGACACCACAUGAACUGUGGUUUGGCAAGAAACCCAAGUUGUCCUUUCUUAGAAUUUGGGGCUGCGAUGCUUAUGUGAAAAAGCUUCAACCUGAUAAGCUCAAACCCAAAUCGGAGAAAUGUGUCUUCAGAGGAUACCCAAAAGAAACUGCUGGGUACACCUUCUAUCACAGAGCCGAAGGCAAGAUCUUUGUUGCUAAGACUGGAUCCUUUCUAGAGAAGGAGUCUCUCUUGAAAGAAGUGAGUGGGAGGAAAGUAAAACUUGAUGAGGUAGUUGUACCUUCUCCCUUAUUGGAAAGUAGGUCAUCACAGAAAUCAGAUCCAGUGAUUCCUACACCAAUUAGUGAGGAAGCUAAUGAUGAUGAUCAUGAAAUUUCUGAUCAAGUUACUACCGAACCUCAUAGGUCAACCGGAGUAAGAUCCACACCAGAGUGGUACGGUAAUCCUAUUCUGGAGGUCAUGUUACUUGACCAUGACAAACCUACGAACUAUGAGGAAGCGAUGAUGAGCCUAGAUUCCGCGAAAUGACUUGAGGCCAUGAAAUCUGAGAUGAUUGACUUGCCCGAUGAUCGGCUAGCCAUUGAGAAUAAAUGGAUCUUCAAGUGUUACUAUCUACAAAGCUUGAAUUGUCGCAAAAAGUUUUCGACAAGUUCAAGGUGCUGACUACGAUAAGAUUUUCUCACUCGUAGCGAUGCUUAAGUCUGUCCGAAUCAUGUUAGCAAUUGCCACAUUUUAUGAAAUCUGGCAAAUGGAUGUCAAAACUACAUUCCUUAAUGUAUUUCUUAAAGAAGAGUUGUAUAUGAUACAAACAGAAGGUUUUGUCAAUCCUAAAGGUGCUAACAAAAUGUGCAAGCUCCAGCGAUCCAUCUAUGGACUGGUGCAAGAAUCUCGGAGUUGGAAUAUACGCUUUGAUAAGUUGAUCAAAGCAUAUAGUUUUAUACAGAGUUGCGGUGAAGCCUGUAUUUACAAGAAAGUGAGUGGGAGCACUACAGUUUUUUUGAUAAGUAUAUGUGAAUGACAUAUUAUUGAUCGAAAAUGAUGUAGAAUUUUCUGGAAAGUGUCGUGGUUUCGUCACGGCAAAUGUCCUAGUGAAAGGACUUAGUCGUGGAGCCAUCGCGACGGGUUAGCUUAAAGGGGUUAAAGCGGGAAAAGGACGCAGGGAGUUUAUACUGGUUCGGCCCCUUGCGGUGAAGGUAAAGGCCUAAUCCAGUUGUUGUGGAAUUGCUAGGUUUCGAUGACCAGGGAGCGAAUCCGCUAUGCCUGGCUCUCGAGUUGUUGACUGUUGUCCCUAAACCGCCACCGGGUCGUCCCUUCAUAUACACAGGUUGACGCCCGCCGGUUUACAGAAUCCUGAGGCCGGUUCAUAAACGUGUCCGGCUCGGUUUCUACCCUUUCUUAACUUACAACACAAGUUACAUAUUAUAUGACGGUUUAUGUCUACAGGCCCUAAUCCGCCUUUGGGCCCUGGGCCUUCGUAAAGCGCCACACUCCUUGUCUUCAUGGGCUUCAAAUAUAAAUAACUCACUAUGGGAAUAACCCGGCCUCUCCUGGCCGGUUUAUACCCAGUAGUAAUAUCCCCAACAUUAGGCCCCAGAUUGAUUUGAACUUGUUCAUGUCAAUCUUCAACACUUAGGAAAAUUCCUCCUUCAGCACCUUCGCGUAAAUCUUGUAAAUCGCCAUGACGUCAUCUUACAUGAUCAUAAUAAACCACCAUGACGUCACCUGUUAUAAAAAAUUGUAUAUAUCUCCCCUUCAUUAAUGAGCCUCCGACAAUCGAGGCGAUAACUCUGUCACAUAUCCAACCUUUGGGAUCCUCGAUUUUCGCGCCUGUCACUUAUCCCUUCACUUUAUAAAUAAGACCCGGGGGGGGUCCUUUUCAUUCCCCCCCGUGCCUCCUUGCUUCUUCUUCCUCCUUGCGCCGACCUGACCCUCACGCGCGGCCGCCGUGUCAAGCUCCGCCCUCGACAUCAUCUCCGGCCGCUGCAUCAACCUGAACGUACCAGAGACACGCGGUGCGCCUUCGCUGUUCCAUCAACAACAGUAAGUUUCCCUUUCUCCUGCUCUAGAUCCGCCAUUAGGGUUUCGGUGUUCAUCAAUGCUCGAAGUUGUUCAUCUUCGUAGUGCAAGCGGCAAUCUCUGACCCGACGUUUUCUUGCGCAGUCGUAGUUGUAAUCCCUUUUUUCAUCCUUAGAACAUCUCCUUCGCAUAGAAAAAACUCAUCUGGACCUGAUGAACUAUUUAAACACCUGUAUUUUAAGUCUGAAUAUACUUUGUUUUACUGAUAAGCUGCAGAUCUGAAAUUACCAUAUCAAUAUGUGAAACUUGUUUUUCUCUUAGACUUUUUAGAUCUGUACCUUCCAUACCAAUAUAGGCGGUUUAACUUUUUAGAAAAUGAUAAUCCGGUAGGUACCAUUAGUCCCCUCUUAAACCGCCGAUUCGUUUAUCUUUGUAACUCCUCCAAUGUCAGACUCCGGUUUAACAAUGUCAGACUCCAGUUUAACAAUGUGUAUAUGCCUCUGUUUCUGCUUCUGAUCUUGCGUCGCUUUAUUCUUGUCCGUCAUAAAUCUUAAAUCGUCAUUGAUCUUUUUCCAGCUUUUCAUUGAAAUGGCCAAACAAUUUUAUGCUUGUAACUGGGUCCCUUCCCGGGUUACAGAAGAGCAACUAGAGGGCUGUGUCGCAACCGGCACUUUAGCAAAGAAAGAAGUUAUCCACUGGAGGGUCCCUGGUCCAGAAAAUCCUCCUAAGCCCAAGGAUGGAGAAGUAGUCGUGUUUGUUGACUACCUGGGCCGAGGGUUUAGCCCUCCUGGAAAUUCUUCCGAGAUGUACUUGCUAGCUUCCAACUCCAUCCUCAGGACAUUGGACCAAACUCUGUGUCCAAUGUUUGCAAUUUCCAAGUAUUUUGCAAGGCUUAUCUUCAAGAGGAGCCCACAGUUGAAUUGUUUAGGGAUCUCUUCUAUUUGAACUGUCGUACAGAGUUUACAGACGGACCCAAUGCUGAACUUGGUGGAAUGACUAUUCAGAAGAGAAAAGAUGUCAGCUUCCGUCACGCCAAGCUUCAUAGUCACCCCAAGGACUGGAAUCAGACUUGGUUUUAUUGCCGAGAUACGUCUCCAACUGAUGAAAAUCCCCUGCCGGGUUACCGUCCUCACCGGCUUAACAACACACAUCCAUUUCCUCAGAGGCUGACUGCAAAGGAACGGUCCAACUACGCACCACAACUCUCAAAGCUCAGAGCCUUUAUGGCGAACGGUUUAACAGGCGUUGACUUUGUUCGUUGCUGGAUAUCCUGGAGCAUUCUGCCUUUAAGCCGGCUCCUCGGUUUAAUAUGUGAGUACACAGGGGACUUAAAAGAUCCUCAACGCCAUAUCAACAUUCAGCUAACAGAGGCUGAAGUUACUAAAUCUGUCAAGAAAAUACUGAAUGAACCGGAGGCUGUUUGCAGCAAGACGGGGCUAAGUCCUUUCUGUGCUUCCAAUAAACCGCCAGCUGUAAGAAUCAUAUAACCUUUUGUUUUAGCUUAAUCCUUUUAAAUACUCUCUCAAAUUGUUUUCCACCUUUGAUAGGGCGAUGAUCCGUUCUGGAAGAAGAAGCCACAGGGUAAACCGGCCAAGACACCUCGCCUCAAGACCAAGGUUACUAAAAAACCUGCCAAGAACAGGACCACUGAGUCUUCUGAACCAAAUGCUGAUGCUGACCUGGAUAAUCCGGACUCAGAGGUAGAACUUGACUCUCUUGGUUCUUUUUUCAUACACCUCAUUGACAAUGACUAUUAUCAGGACGACGCUGAAGGCAGCCAAGCUGAUGAUACAGAGGUAAUUAUCCUUUCCUCCGGUUCAGAUCCUCUGCCAACACAGAAAAUCCGUCAAGCAAACCGGAAAAUAAAAUUUUCUCACCCCCUAGCUCAGUUGGACCCAAACUUUCUUUUGAAGAAGCAGCAACACGAAGCCCGCCGCACAACCCGGUACAGCGGCCAGGUAGUUACCUCCGCCGGUUUACCGAACACUCCAGUCCGGAAACGUCGAUCAGAGGUCUCUUAUGUACCUGAUACUUCUUGCCCUAAGGCGGGUUGUUUCCGACAGCCUCUUAACCCGUCUAAUUCAAAUUAUCAGGGCACACCUCAUUCAUCUUCUGGCGAGUCAACGGCCACACAAUUUCCACCCCUGAAGACGGUUCCUGGGUGAGUUAUGCUUUAAUUUUAUCUUUAAUAUAUAUUAUAUUUGCCUGAUUUAUUGAUCUCUAUGUUUGUUUUCAGCGCCAAGCCUAGACCCAGCAAGAAGGCCCGGUUAAAUAAACCGUCUGAUGACAAUGUGGUUAUUGAACCGGAGAGAACGCCAGAACCGGAAGGAACAAAUGCUGACGCUAUGCUUAAUGAUCCGCCACCACAAGAUCAUGACUUUUUGUUGAACAAGUAGAAGUUGAUACAACGAGCCAUGCUAAUAAACCGACAAGCCCAGUCCGAACUGAUGAUAAACCGUCAAGUCCAGCUAAGACUGCUGACAAACCGUCAACUCCAGUGAAGGCUGCUGAUGAUCAGGAGGAUGACAUUAUGAUUACUGGCUUCGGCCACACCACCCCUGGCAAUCCUGUUGCUUUAUCUAAGCAUAGUGCCAAGGACGAGCUUUCUGCUAUGGGCAAAGGCAAGUGGAAUGCAGACUUAUCAAGCUAUGCCCAUCUCAAUGCCUAAGAUAUUCAUUCUGGCUUUUUGAACCGUCUGUACACAAGCCGCGACUAUGAAGCCGGUUUAGUGAACUUGAUGAAAGAACGAUAUGAGGUAAUUACUGCUUAACUCUGCAUAUCUGUUUUUCUCUUGUCCAAAUAUCAACUCCAGUAGCCCCCAAGGGCCGGUUUAUGAUAUCAAUCUAAACCGGGACUUUAGAAUACCUCAACUUUGAUUGCGUAGCCCCCAAGGGCCGGUUUAACUUAUUAAGAUGAACCGGGACUUUUAGAAUAAUAACCUUGUCACUUUCGCCUGUGUAGUCCCCAAAGGCCGGUUUAUCUUUUCAAGCUGAACUGGGAUUUUUUUACCAAUGUUUUACUUUUAUUGUGCUUGGGACUUGUGAAAUUUUUUGAUAACAAGCAAAUAGGCAUUAGCCCCCAAGUAUCAAGUGUAUAACUUGUUAUGGGCUUGGUACUUCAAAUAUGUGCUGCCAACUCAUAAUAUGUCUUUCUCUUAUAGGCUGAGCUGAGCAAAAAGGAAGCCCAAACCGCUGAUCUUCAAGAGAACAUCAAGUCCCAGCAAGCAGAAACCUCCAAAGCCAAGGAUGAGCUGACCAGUACCUUAGCAGCCAUGGAGAAACUGAAGGAAAAUUUCAAGAAGGAGCAGGCGGAUCGGGACAUAGAAAAAACCACAUUACAAAAGAGAGCUGAAGAUGCAGAAGCAGCCCUUAAACCGGUGGCAGAAGAGCUGACUGGUUUAAAGAGGCAGAUAAAUGCCAAGUCCACUGCUAUGUUUGGUAAGUAUCCUCGCUUUAAGUUUUCAACAUAUAGUAUCCUAUCAGUUGCCGGUUUACUGAUGCUCGUAAUGAUGCAGGAAACCACAUUACCCAUCUAGGUUCUGAUAUGCAGAAGAAAUUGAAGGCUACCUAUACUCUUAUAGAGCAAUUAUAUACCGGUGCGCAACGGGUCAUAUGCACUACUUCUCAUAACAAGCCGCCCCCAACCUUAAUCAAAGAAACUUUAGAAAGGUUGUCAAUGCUGCCUGCCCGGGUUGAAGAAUUAAAAAGAUCGGCUGCAAGGGCAAGUGCUCUGACCGUGCUAACCCGGGCUAAAGCAUGGGUGCCUGAUCUUGAUCCGGUGGAUGUGGGUAAAGGCUAUCCGAGCUUAAGGGAAGACGGAUUAGAUUUUGACAAUGAUGACCUCCGAGUCAUAACCAGGGAGAUGCGUCCACUAGCUUGCCAAUUGGCUGAAGAAGCUGACCUUUCAUACUAUCAGGCGAGUUAUGACGUCAACAAAAAACGGGUUGCUGCACCAACUCCUGAAGCUCAAAAUCUUAUCCCACCAAUCCGUAAGCACACCUAUGCCCCUGGCGUUGAACCGUCCACACUUAUAAGCGAUGAAGCUGUAUUCCAAGCCCUAACUGGGAUCGAUUGGGCCACCAUUGACUUCCAGCCACUGGGUAGAGAGGAGGAGGAUGAACCAGCGCGAGAUGACCCAUAGCCGUCAAGUCAGCCUGGUGACGAGGCAUGAUCCAGAGGCCGGUUUAGCCUUAUGCGUACUGCAACCCUUGCUGAAAACAAUUAUUCUUUUGGGCAGUAAAGCGCCUUGUAAUAGGCUAGUUCAAACACUUGGUCUGCUAUGCCAUCGCGCAUAUUUAUUCCGCCUGACACUGUUAAUCCACCAUGCUUAGGAUAUAUUAUGUUCGUAAUCCAUAGAGGUUUAUGCAAGUUGUUCCUUCAUACAAGAAGUUGAAAGUGUCCUGGCGGUUUACCGCCGAACGGGUCAUGAUGCCCAAAUAUAUAGCCAAGGUUUAUAACCAAGGCUGUAUUUGAAAAUAAUCAAAUAUGAAAUAGAUGAUACCUGUGAUAUUGAAUCACAUCAUUGAUUGACCAACUUUUUGUAUAGUAAGGGUGAUAACCCCAAUCUUGAGUAUUGAUAACUCCUUCCAUAUUUGGCCGGUUUAUGAUAAAACCGUACCGGGUUGUAAUAAACACCGGAUUAUCCAUAUAUAACACUAGCGACUUGUAGUCGAAAUCAGACCGGGUCAAUAAGCGUCGGAUUAUAAUUGAUCAUGUACUGACAACUUGUAGUUGAAAGCCAAACCGGGUCAAUAAACGCCGGUUUAUCAUAAAAUAUUAUAAACCUCAUCAAAGGAGGAAAAAACUUGGCAAAUAAAAGCAUAAAAAGAACAUGCAAGGCUUUUCAUGGGCUGCCAGGCCCAAAAUCGAGGCUUUUCAUGGGUUGCCAGGCCACUGAGUUAAACCAUUUUACAAAGCCUUUUAAGAUGGACCUCACAUUAACCAAUCGUCGUUUUAACUUUGACAAGUUCAGGGUCUAUGAGAUUGACUUGUCAAAUGUUCGGCGGGUCAUACCAGGAUUACCUGGACGGAGUGGCUUACUUAAAGAGGCAGGAUAACUCGGGGUUUUAGGUGAAUACACCUGGCUUCCAAGCCUGGCUUGAUAGCCUAUUACAAGGGUGUAGACUCUUUGUUCUUUGCAAAGCAAAGAGCCCCCAAGCAAUAUUUUGAGCUGUGCUCAGUGGGUGCCUAUGUUUGAGUUGUGCUUUUGCAACACUCUCUUUGGCCCCUAAAUGAUUUCCUUUUGGCCUUAAGUCGAUCAAGAGGUGUAGCUACGGUUCGAAUACGACCAAGCCCCCACGUGAUUCUUCAUAUAUGGCUUUAUAAGCCGGAUCAAUGAGCAAACAGGACUCCGCUUUAUAACAGAAGCCCCCAUGUAACCACACAUGAUGCAAGAAAACAACAGAGACCCCGCUUUAGCCGAGGCUCCGGUUUAUUAUAUUGAUCAUAAUAUAUACAUUGUCAUAACUAUGUACAUAAGAAGAGCCUGUGGCUCAAGUAUAGUAAGGCCGAAGAUGAGCGAUAUUCCACGGCCGGUUGGUCUCCUCCUCCGAUUUACGUGAGUCUUUGUGCUCUCGAACAUCGAUAAGGUAGUAUGACCCGUUAUGCAGAUUCUUGCUGACCACAAAGGGCCCUUCCCAAGGCAGGGAUAAAUUGUGCAUAUCAGUCUGAUCCUGGAUGAGUCAGAGCACUAAAUCGCCUUCUUGAAAAGUUCUGGUUCUAACCCGGCAGCUGUGAUAACGAUGCAGAUCUUGCUGGUAAAUCGCCGAACGAGCUGCUUCAAUGUCACGCUCCUCAUCUAACAGGUCAAGUGCUUCCUGUCGUGCCUUCUCAUUGUCAGCUUCGACAUAAGCCGCCACACGAGGCGAGUCAUGACGGAUGUCACUAGGGAGAACCGCCUCUGCCCCGUAAACCAUGAAAAAGGGCGUGUAUCCCAUGGAUCUGUUGGGCGUGGUAUUGAUGCUUCAUAACACAGAAGGUAACUCCUCCACCUAACAACGGCGUCCGUUGUAAAGGAACCAUGAGUCGGGGCUUGAUGCCUUUCAGGAUCUCUUGAUUGGCUCUCUCCGCCUGACCAUUAGACUGGGGGUGAGCCACUGAUGAUACGUCAAGCCGGAUGUGCUCACGUUGACAGAACUCUUUCAUAGCACCUUUGGACAGAUUAGUGCCAUUAUCAGUUAUAAUGCUGUGUGGAAAGCCAAACCGGAAAAUCACCUUCUUGAUGAAUUGAACCGCCGUAGCUGCAUCACACUUACUGACUGGCUCUGCCUCCACGCAUUUAGUGAACUUAUCAACUGCCACCAGAAGGUGGGUCUUCUUAUCCUUAGAUCUCCUAAAGGGCCCAACCAUAUCCAGCCCCCAAGUCGCAAACGGCCAAGUGAUUGGAAUCAUCCUCAACUCUUGAGCCGGUACAUGAGCGCGCCGUGAGAAUUUUUGACACCCAUCACACCUUUUGACCAAGUCCUCAACAUCGGCAUGAGCCGUCAGCCAAUAGAAACCAUGACGAAAAGCCUUGGCUACCAGAGACUUUGAACCGGCGUGGUGACCACAAUCUCCUUCGUGGAUGUCACGCAAAAUCUCACGGCCUUCUUCAGGAGACACGCAACGCUGAAACGCCCCUGUCACACUGCAAUGAUGUAACUCUCCAUUGACAAUAGUCAUGGACUUGGACCGCCGGAUUAUCUCCCUGGCCAAAGUUUCAUCCUCCGGUAACUCGCCGCGGUUCAUAUACGCCAAAUAUGGGACCGUCCAAUCUGGGAUGACAUGAAGAGCCGCCACCAACUGAGCCUCCGGAUCAGGAACAGCCAGAUCCUCCUCUGUGGGGAGCUUGACCGACGGAUUAUGUAGCACAUCCAGAAAGACGUUGGGUGGAACCGGUUUACGUUGGGAACCCAAACGACUUAAAGCGUCUGCCGCUUCGUUCUUUCGCUGGUCCACAUGGUCAACCUGAUAACCUUUGAAAUGACCUGCAACAAUAUCCACCUCUCGAUGAUAUGCUGCCAUGAGAGGGUCCUUGGAAUCCCAAGUACCAUACACUUGUUGAGCCACUAGGUCCGAGUCACUAAAGCACUUAACCCGGCUUAAAUUCAUCUCUUUAGCCAUUCGAAGACCAUGGAGCAAAGCCUCAUAUUCAGCUGCAUUGUUAGUGCAAGGGAACAUUAAACGGAGAACAUAACAAAACUUAUCACCUCAUGGGGAAGUUAAUACGACUCCAGCCCCCGAGCCCCCCAAUUGCCUGGACCCAUCAAAAUGAAUGUCCAAUAAGUAUGAUCCGGCUUCUCUUCUGGCGCCUGCAACUCUGUCCAGUCAUUGAUGAAAUCCACCAACGCUUGGGACUUGAUUGCCGUCCGAUGCAUAUAUUUUAACCCAUGAGGUCCAAGCUCAAUGGCCCACUUGGCAACCCGGCCAGUUGCUUCCCUGUUCUGGAUUAUAUCCCCCAAAGGAGCAGAACUGACCACAGUGAUGGGAUGACCCUGGAAAUAUUGCUUAAGCUUCCGGCUCGACAUGAAAACUCCAUACACCAGCUUCAGCCAAUGUGGGUACCUAUACUUGGACUCAAUAAGUACCUCACUAAUAUAAUAAACCAACCAUUGAACCGGAUACUCCUUUCCGGCCUCCUUGCGCUCCACCACAAUAGCCACGCUAACAGCCCGGGCAUUAGCAGCCACAUAUAACAACAAGGGCUCUUUAUCAACAGGAGCAGCAAGGACAUGCGGCUCGGCUAGCUGCCGCUUUAGGUCCUCAAAUGCUUCAUUGGCGACGUCACUCCAGACGAAGUCAUCCGUCUUCUUCAGCAUCUGAUAUAAAUGGAUGGCCUUCUCCCCAAGGCGACUGAUAAACCGGCUUAAGGCUGCAAUCCGGCCUGCCAGGCGUUGAACAUCAUUGAUACACUUCGGUUUAGCCAAGGAAGUAAUAGCCUUGAUUUUCUCCGGAUUAGCUUCAAUGCCCCUGUUAGACACCAGAAAGCCCAAGAGCUUGCCUGCCGGUACACCAAAGACACACUUGGCCGGAUUAAGCAUCAUCUUAUAAACCCGAAGGUUAUCAAACGUCUCCUUUAAGUCAUCUAUCAAUGUCUCCUCCUUUCUGGAUUUCACCACAAUAUCAUCCACAUAGGCAUGAACAUUGCGGCCGAUCUGAUUAUGAAGACAAUUCUGCACACAACGCUGAUAAGUCGCCUAGGCACUCUUGAGCCCAAAAGGCAUAGAUACAUAGCAGAAGGCUCCAAAGGGAGUUAUGAAAGCUAUCUUCUCCUGGUCCUUAACUGUCAUUUUGAUCUGAUGAUAACCAGAAUAUGCAUCCAGAAAACUCAAACGCUCACAACCCGCCGUAGCAUCAAUGAUUUGAUCAAUACGAGGGAGGGCAAAAGGAUCCGCUGGACAAGCCUUGUUCAAAUAUGUGUAGUCCACACACAUACGCCAGGUGCCGUUUUCUUAAGUACUAGCACUGGAUUAGCCAACCACUCAGGAUGAAAUACUUCAAUGAUAAAUCCAGCCGCCAAGAGCCUGGCUACCUCCUCACCAAUGGCCUUGCGUCUUUCUUCAUUAAACCGGCGGAGAAAUUGCUUGACCGGUUUAAACUUGGGAUCGACAUUAAGAGUGUGGUCAGCGAGUUCCCUCAGUACAGCUGGCAUGUCAGAAGGUUUCCAUGCAAAGAUAUCCCAGUUCUCACGGAUGAAUUCGAUGAGUGCGCCUUCCUAUUUCGGAUCUAAGUUAGCACUGAUGCUAAAUUGCUUGGAUGAAUCGCCAGGAACGAAAUCAACUAGCUUAGUCUCAUUAGCCGAUUUAAACUUCAAGGCCGGAUCAUGUUCUGUAGUUGGCUUUUUCAAAUAAGUCAUAUCCACCGGAUCAACAUUGUCCUUGUAGAACUUCAACUCCUCUGUUGCACAAACCGACUCAGCAUAAGCCGCAUCACCUUCUUCACAUUCCAAAGCAAUCUUACGACUUCCAUGUACUGUGAUGAUCCCCUUAUGACCCGGCAUCUUGAGCUGCAGAUAAACAUAACAGGGCCUUGCCAUGAACUUGGCAUAAGCCGGCCGUCCAAACAGGGCAUGAUAUGGGCUCUUGAUUUUCACCACUUCAAAAGUCAAUGUUUUUGAUCUUGAAUCAUGCUCAUCUCCAAAAGCAACCUCCAGAGCUAUCUUACCAACUGGAUACGCCGAUUUACCAGGCACCACACCAUGAAAAACGGUGUUUGACGGUUUAAGAUUUUUAUCUGCCCAUGCGACGGAAGGUUUCAUAAUAAAGGAUAUUGAUACUACUCCCUCCAUCCAUGAGUACUUUGGUGAACUUAUACCCUCCAACCUGAGGCGCCACCACCAAUGCCAGAUGACCCGGAUUAUCAACCCGGGGUGGAUGAUCCUCUUGACUCCACACGAUGGGCUGUUCAGACCAGCGCAAGUAACGGGGCACCGCCGGUUCAACGGACUUCACUGCCCUUUUAUGAAGUUUCUGAUCGUGCUUGCACAAGCUAGUGGUGAAGACAUGGUACUACCCACUAUUCAACUGCUCCGGGUUGCUCUGGUAACCCGACUGCUGCUGUUGCUGCUGAUUCCCCUGAUGAUUAUAACCACCCUGGUUGUCCUGAUUGCCUUGAUUGCCAUGUCCGCUUUGAUUACCGUGAAAACCUGAACCGGAACUGCCUCCAUCAUAACCCGGCCCAUGAGAUCCGGGGCCUGAACCGCCGGCUGGUCCAUGAUCAUACCGGAAAAAAUUUGAAUUUUUGAACUCCCGCACAAUAAAGCAAUCCUUCCAGAGGUGUGUGGCUGGCUUUUCCCGCGACCCGUGCUUUGGGCAAGGCUGGUUUAACAGGUGAGACAAGCGCUCAGGAUUGGGACCUGAUCCUCCACCACGUAGGGGCGGUUUACCCUUACGACGCCGACCAUUAUCCUGCGUGUUGGUAUUAGCCACAAAAUCUAAACUGUUAUCCGCUUUACGCUUACCGCUGUUUCCAUGACCCGCCGGGUUAUGCUGCUGCCCUUUGGUGCUGCCGCUCUUCUUUCCCUUUCAUGUCUUGUCAUCGUCAGACUCAGGGUCCUUGGUACUAUCAGAGUCGGCAUACUUCACCAGAGCUGCCAUAAGCGUCCCCAUGUCAUUGCAGUGACGUUUGAGCCGUCCCAACUUUAACUUCAGAGGUGCAAACCGGCAAUUGCCUUCCAACGUUAAAACUGUUGUAUCAGCGUUGAUGUGGUCCGAUGAAUGCAAAAUUUCUGAAACCCGGCGCACCCAAUGGGUCGUUGACUCCCCUUCCUCUUGGACACAUGCAGCUAAGUCCACAAUUGACAUGGGCUAUUUGCACGUGUCUUUGAAAUUCUGAAUGAACCGGGCCCUUAACUGGGCCCAUGACCCAAUGGAUUUAGCUGGUAAGUUUUUCAACCAAGUGCGAGCUAUCCCCUCCAACAUCACGGUGAAGUAUUUAGCACAUGCCGCAUCAUCUACAUCCAGCAUCUCCAUCGCCAUCUCAUAGCUCUCAACCCAUGACUCAGGGGAUAAAUCGGCGGUGUAAUUGGGCACUUUACGCGGACCCUUGAAAUCCUUGGGUAGCCGUACAUUACGCAAAGCCGGGGUGAGACACGACACCCCCAAAGAACUGGAGGUAACUCCUGGCUCCACUGAAGUAGUUGGACGAACCGGAGUAAGCUGACGGGCCGCGUACUGCGCCGCUAACUCGGCUUCCCGACGUGCUCUUCAUUGGUCCACCACAUUCUGAGCAUCAGCUCCGCCGCUUGCCGGGUUAUGGCCACGAGGCGGAUUACGGUUUCGCGCACUGCUUGACACAGCCGGUUCAUCAAUGCGCCUGCUGUAACUCCGGCUCGGGCGGGGGGUGGAAUGAAUCCUCUCGCGACUGUAUGAAUAAGCCUGCUGCUGAGUCAAGGCCGUCUGAAGGAGCUCCCUAGCCCGUCGCAUCUCAACUACUACUGGAGACUCGCCUUCGAUCGGGAGAGCUGCCAAUCGUGAAGCGGCGGCAACAAUGUUAUCCAACGGGUUAGAGUAAUGACCCGAUGGUGUUGGGACGUGCUGCGACAGGCAUUGUUCUGACGAGGUGGUUCUAUCAGACGUGACUGAACCAGCGCUCCCGUUCCAGGUGCCUCCACCCGGUUUACCACGGGCGGGUUACUGGUCCCUGCUCCUGGCGUGUCAAAGAGAUUCCUCGCCUCAUAAACCGGAGGUAGAUGGGAUCGGUACCUUCUCCUCAUGACAUCAUUUGACGCGCUCUGAUCUAACAUAAGUCGGUAAGCCUGUGCAUCCAACUCGGCCCGCUCUGCAGCCAUCCUGGUAUCCUCAGCUGCCAGGUCUGCCUUGGCUUGAGUUAUCUGAUCCUUCACCUUCGCGAUUUCCGCGUUAUGCUCAUCCUGAUUUGCCGGGUUAACUUCCGCUAGCAGUGUUGCCAAAGCAUCAAAUAAGUCAGACAAAACUUGAGCCGGCGGUCGCGCAGGGCCUCCUGCCCCGGCUGCUGUCGCCGCUACUGAUCCGAAAACCAUCGCCGCUGCAGUCGAAGAGUGCUGCGCAGGCUGCGUACCGGCCAUGAAGAUCGCAACCCGGCUCGGCGGAUCAAAGGGGUCCGAAAUACUGUCGUCAUCGGAACAGCCCCCAAUCCGGCCAUCUUGCAACUGGUACAAUGACUCAGUCUCUCCGGUCGAUGACUCGUCAUCAGAGUAAACGACGGUCUCUCCACCAGAUGCCGAUCUAACCUCAGAUUCCGCUCCGUGGAUGACUCCCACGAAGGCACGCUUCAUGGCAGGCUGAAACUGGGCGGGUCUCGCACGCUGAGCCUUUUCGACGAUGUCGGCGCAGAUGUCCGGCUCAGGGCCCGGUUUGCCGAUCUUGCCAAUGAAGACCUGGAUGCCACCGAAGGGGACCCGGUACCCAUACUCAAUUGAGCCGGCCUCGGGGCCCCAGCCUGCGUCGUCGAUGUAGAGCUUGCUGCGACGACUCUUGGUCAUCCAACCCACAACGUAUCACUUGAGUCCUUCGAUGCUGCCCUCUAAGAACUCGAAACCAUCGUGCGAUAGCCCCACGGUGGGCGCCAACUAUCGUGGUUUCGUCAUGGCAGAUGUCCUAGUGAAAGGACUUAGUCGUGGAGCCAUCGCGACGGGUUAGCUUAAAGGGGUUAAAGCGGGCAAAGGACGCAGGGAGUUUAUACUGGUUGGGCCCCUUGCGGUGAAGGUAAAGGCUUAAUCCAGUUGUUGUGGAAUUGCUAGGGGUUCGAUGACCAGGGAGCGAAUCCGCUAUGCCUGGCUCUCGAGUUGUUGUGUGUUGUCCCUAAACCGCCGCCGGGUCGUCCCUUUAUAUACACAGGUUGACGCCCGCCGGUUUACAGAAUCCCGAGGCCGGUUCGUAAACGUGUCCGGCUCGGUUUCUACCCUUGCUUAUCUUACAACACAAGUUACAUAUUAUAUGAGGGUUUAUGUCUACAGGCCCUAAUCCGUCUUUGGGCCCUGGGCCUUCGUAAAGCGCCACACUCCUUGUCUUCAUGGGCUUCAAAUAUAAAUAACUCACUAUGGGAAUAACCCGGCCUCUCCUGGCCGGUUUAUACCCAGUAGUAAUAUCCCCAACAGAAAGCAUAUCGGAGUGUUUGAAAGGGGUUUUUCAAAGAAAGACCUCGGUGAAGCUGCUUACAUAUUGAGAAUCAAGAUCUAUAGAGAUAGAUCAAGACGCUUGAUAAGAUUUUUCAAUGAGUACAUACCUUGAUAAGAUUUUGAAGGAGUUCAAAAUGGAUCAGUCAAAGAAGGAGCUCUUGCCUGAGUUGUAAGGUAUGAAAUUGAGUAAGACUCAAAACCCGACCACAGCAGUAGAUAGAGAGAGAAUGGAAGUCAUGCCCGAUGCCUCAGCCAUAGGUUCUAUAAAGUAUGCUAUGUUCUAUACCAGACCUAUUGUGUACCUCACCAUGAGUUUGACAAGAGAGUACAAUAGUGAUCCAGGAGUAGAUCACUGGACAACAGUCAAAAUUAUCCUUAGUGGAAUAAGGAUAUGUUUCUCGAUUAUGGAGGUGAUAAAGAGUUCGUCGUAAAGAGUUACGUCGAUGCAAGCUUUGAUACCGAUCUGGAUGACUCUGAGUCUCGAUCUACAUACAUAUUGAAAGUGGGAGCAAAUAGCUAGAGUAGCUCCGUGCAGAGCAUUGUAGACAUAUAAAUUUGCAAAAUACAUACAGAUCUGAAUGUGGCAGACCCAUUGACUAAACCUCUCUCACAAGCAAAACAUGAUCACACCUUAGUACUCUUCGGGUGUUAAUCACAUGGCGAUGUGAACUAGAUUAUUGACUCUAGUAAACCCUUUUGGGUAUUGGUCACAUGGCGAUGUGAACUAUAGAGUGUUAAAUCACAUGACGAUGUGAACUAUUAGUGUUAAAUCACAUGGCGAUGUGAACUAGAUUAUUGACUCUAGUGCAAGUGGGAGACUGAAGGAAAUAUGCCCUAGAGGCAAUAACAAAGUUAUUAUUUUAUUUCCUUAUAUCAUGAUAACUGUUUAUUAUUCAUGCUAGAAUUGUCUUAACCGGAAACUUGAUAGAUGUGUGAAUACAUAGACAAAACAAAGUGUCCCUAGUAUGCCUCUACUAGACUAGCUCGUUAAUCAAAGAUGGUUAAGUUUCCUGACCAUAGACAUGUGUUGUCAUUUGAUGAACGGAUCACAUCAUUAGAGAAUGAUGUGAUGGAAAAGACCCGUCCGUUAGCUUAGCAUUAUGAUCGUUGAGUUUUAUUGCUAUUGCUUUCUUCAUGACUUAUACAUGUUCCUAUGACUAUGAGAUUAUGCAACUCCCGAAUAUCGGAGGAACACCUUGUGUGCUAUCAAACAUCACAACAUAAUUGGGUGAUUAUAAAGAUGCUCUACAGAUGUCUCCGAAGGUGUUUGUUGAGUUGGCAUAGAUCAAGAUUAGGAUUUGUCACUCCGUGUAUCGCAGAGGUAUCUCUGGGCCCUCUCGGUAAUGCACAUCACUAUAAGCCUUGCAAGCAAUGUGACUAUUGAGUUAGUUGCGGCAUGAUGCAUUACGGAACAAGUAAAGAGACUUGCCGGUAACGAGAUUGAACUAGGUAUGAGGAUACCGAUGAUCAAAUCUCAGGCAAGUAACAUACCGAUGACAAAGGGAACAACGUAUGUUGUUAUGCGGUUUGACCGAUAAAGAUCUUCGUAGAAUAUGUAGGAGCCAAUAUGAGCAUCUAGGUUCCGCUAUUGGUUAUUGACCGGAGAUGUGUCUCGGUCAUGUCUGCUUAGUUCUCAAACCCGUAGGGUCCGCACGCUUAACGUUCGAUGAUGAUUUGUAUUAUGAGUUAUGUGAUUUGAUGACCGAAGUUUGUUCGGAGUCCCGGAUGAGAUCACAGACAUGACGAGGAGUCUCGAAAUGGUCGAGAGGUAAAGAUCGAUAUAUUGGAAGGCUAUAUUCGGACAUCGGAAAGGUUCCGAGUGAUUCGGGUAUUUUUCGGAGUACCGGAGAGUUACGGGAAUUCACCGGGGGAAGUAGUGGGCCUUAAUGGGCCAUACGGGAAAGGAGAGAAGGGCCUCAAGGGGUGGCCGCGCUCCCCCCCAUGGCAAGUCCGAAUUGGACUAGGGAGGGGGCGGUGCCCCCUCUCUUUCCUUCUCCCUCUCGUACUCCUUCCAUCGCUCCCCUCUUGGAAAAGGAAGGGGACUCCAACUAGGAUUGGAAAUCCUAGUUGGAGUCCCCCUAUAGGCGCGCCCCUCCUAGGCCGGCCUCCUCCUCCUCCUCCCUCCUUUAUAUACGUGGCCAAGGGGGCAUCCCAAGACACACAAGUUGAACUUUAGCAGUGUGCGGUGCCCCCUGCACAGUUUUGCACCUCGGUCAUAUUGUCGUAGUGCUUAGGCGAAGCCCUGCGCCGGUAACUUCAUCAUCACCGUGACCACGCCGUCGUGCUGAUGAAACUCUCCCUCGGCCUCAGCUGGAUCUAGAGUUCGAGGGACAUCACCGAGCUGAACGUGUGCAGAUCGCGGAGGUGCCGUGCGUUCGGUACUUGAUCGGUUGGAUCGCGAAGACGUUCGACUACAUCAACCGCGUUACUAAACGCUUCCGCUUUCGGUCUACGAGGGUACGUGGACACACUCUCCCCGCUCGUUGCUAUACAUCUCCUAGAUAGAUCUUGCGUGAUCGUAAGUAAAUUUUUUGAAAUACUACGUUCCCCAACAAUAGGCCUCCUUUUGUGAUACAAUAUUAUAAAGUGUUGGAUACUGUAAGGCUAGAGGUUUAUCUCCGAGCCAAAUAUCCUCCCAAAACCGAGUGGCACGCCCAUCACCAAUAAUAAACUCCCCUCUAUUGAAGAGAGCAAUCUUAGUCCUCAUCAGACCCUUCCAAAUGGUGAAUCAUUCGACUGAGUCAUUACUUGAAAUAAGGUCUUAGAAUGUAGAUACUUGUUACACAACAAAUGUAUGCAUACUUACUCCUCAGAGGAUAAUUGAUAUACCAUAAUGAUAACGCCCACACGUGUGACAUGUCUGCACAUCGCCCACAUGCCUUGAUCCACGUUGAUUAUGUUUUGCACGAAUCCUAAUGAAAUCUGUUAGAAUCUGAGUGCCACGUGGGCAUCAUCGUGUGUGUGGGCGUUGGAGAGUUCGCCCACAUGCCCCGCAUCACGCGGUUUGCCAGCUGCCUGUGUGGGCGAACUAGUUUCUGCCCACACAGCCACCACCUAGCCCACACGCGUGUGGGCGAACUACUUUUCGCCCACAUGACACUCGUAUAUUGUUGGAUGGCAACUGCAGUUGCGCAUACCUGGCGACUAGGUAAACACACAUGGCAACUAUGAUUCGUUGCUAGACGGCAACUGCAGUUGUGCGUACGUGGCAAUCAGGAUAAACACACAUGGCAACUGUGAUUAACCAUACAUGACAACUAUGAUUGGACCACACGUGGCAACUAGGUAAACAUACAUGGCAACUAUUGUUUGACCAUAUAUGGCAAGUAGUUAAUCACACACGACAACUAUGGUUUAAUUACACGCGGCAACCUAAAUUAGACAUAGCAACUAUAGUUAACAAAAAUAGAGAGAGUUUGCCAUGCUUCUACAACUGCAUUUGCCAUCCCGGAUAACUACAUCUGCCAUCCCGGAUGACAACUAAAUCGUCAUCCCGCGGGUACCUAACGUUGCUGCACCAGGACGUGUGGGGAUAUUUGCUUCGUGCCACACGCACGGGGCGAGGAUGAGUAGUACUUGUGGGGCGUGUGGCACGAAGUAGCUGCGCCCACACAUGUGGGCAAUUCUAAUGUCCGCCCACACACAACCUGUGUGGGUUGCCUCCUGCUCUCCCCACACACAGUGUGUGGACGGAUGUUUAGUAUGCCACACGUGUGGGCGUUAUCAGGACCCUUGAUAUAGCCAUUUACUAAUCAAACACUUGUUUUUAAUCUCUAAGUUCUCACUCCAUUGGUCAUUUGGCCUACACAUAAUAUCCCUGUCAAAUAAACAACGAUCUAUAGAAGUCUAAUCUUUUCUGUAUUGCAACAAGUAUUUUGAAGAAAGAAAGCAUGAACAUAGGCAGACUUGUAAGCACUGAGUUUACAAGUAUCAGCCUACCCUUACAGGACAUAACCUUGCCCUUCCAACAGGUAAGCUUCUUCUCAAAUCUAUCCUCAAUACAUUUUCAUUCUUUGUUCUUUAAUUUUCGGUGAUGAAUUAGAAUCCCUAGAUAACUAAACAAUUGUCUGUAGAAUAACAUAGCUAAUGAAAAUGUGUUGUAUGCUGCUUAGCUUUGCCCCUAAGGGUUUGACUUCUUCAUCCGCUGUUGGCCCCUCUUGUGGAUCAGACGGCGGCUAGAAGUCCACGACAGACGGCAAAAGAUGAUCCAUACAAGACAGCACGAACCUAGGAAAAGGGGGUUGCCGUACAAGAAAAGCAAGCUCCAAAAAAAUAUCAUUUAGGGCUUCGUCAAACCACAGCUCGCUCCGCCAUUGAAAACUCACCGACCAGAACCCUCUUUACACAAUCAAGGGAUCACCUGGCCUUAGCCGGCCAUGUCGUCCAUGGUCUCUCCCCUCCACGGAGUAGUGGACGCCCGCCGGUGGAACGCCGAGCGCCUCCUGGGUCGUCUAGUGAUCGUGGUUCACGCCGCCUUCCUUGACGCGGGCUUCAUCGUGCCUCGCCGCCACCGCCGGGAUUGGGAUCUGUCUUCUACCUGCCGGCUUCCGACAGAGGCGGGCGCGACGGCCUCGACCCUCACCCUGGAGUACACCGUGCCGCAGCUGCUGCCCCGGCACGACAUGGACGGCGCCGCGCUGAGGGUGUGCACCAACGGGCGGCACGUCAUCUUCUACCUGCAGAUCUCCUCUGUCCGGAUCAGCCCGCACUUGGUGUGCCUGGACGCAUACUCCGUCGCGCCGCUCCUGUCGGGCCAUCUGAACGGCACAGCGCGCAGGCUGCUGCGGAACCACGCCUCCCCGACGGCCGCGCUCUGGAGGACGGUCAGCGACGGGUUCAGCCGGCGCAUCUUCUCGGAUCUAUGCCUUGUGCACGGCGUGGUGCCGGGACGAGCCCCCACCUUCAUGUCCCUCCCGAGCGACAUGAUGGCGGCGAUCCUGGAGAGGCUCGCCGACGGGAAGGACCUGUUGAGGGUGAAGAGCACCUGCACCGAGCUGAGGAGCUUGGUGGCCGAGCCCGACCGGGACCGCCAGCUCUGGAUGCCCAGGUACAAGGCGCUACGGUUGAACUGGCUGUGGUGGUGGUGCUGGUCGCUCGGCGGCGACAGCGAUUCCCACGACGACCUGCCGGAGACGAGCUGGAAGCAGAUGUUUGUGAGGGCCACGCGACGGUGGGAAGAUAGGCUUCUCGAUCGUCCUACUCCUGUCCUCGUCAUACGGCGGUUUUCUAUCCUCGAUGAGUUGAAAUGGUUUUUUCGAUCCGCAAGAUACUCAUUUGAGGAGCUGCCGGUGGAUGCCGCCGCCUGCUUUGGAGAGAUGAUGACUGAGACGGAGGGCGACGGGGGCAAGAGUACCACCGGUCGCCGCCAUGGCCAUGGUAAGGCGCCGGCCAUAGGCGGCCACGAGAAGCAGAGGCAGCAGGGUCGUCGCACCCGCACCGGCGCUAUCCACUCCCCGUCUUCUAGGUACCGAUGGAAGCACAGGUGACCGGCCGGUCAUCUUUUGCACGACGGAAUUCCUUGCUCGGUUUGUUCACUUUCGCUGCCGGUUCUUCUAAUGUUCAGAAACAUGUGCCUUUUAAGGGCACACUGAACUGAACUGUCUGUUCAUCGAUCACAAGAGUUGACAAAAAAAAGGCAUUCUUCUCAUUUGCACUUCACUGUGCUACUAUAUGUACAUUUCAUAUACAAGAUGCAUGUUGCUCAUCCACUUUAUGAGAACAUUCGCGCAAUGUAUUUGUGCAUAACAGUUACUCCCUCCGUUUCAUAAUGUAGUUCCUAUAGAUUUUUACAAAAGUCAAACAUUACAAACUUUGACCAUGUUUAUAGAGAAAAGUAGGUACAUCUAGAAUACCAAAUACACAUCAUUGGAUACAUCGUCAGUUAUAUUUUCAGAAUGUAAAUGUUUGGUAUUGUAGAUGUAGACAGUUUUCUCUAUACACUUGGUCAAAGUUGGCAAAGUUUGACUUUCACAAAAAUCUAUAAGCACUACAUUGUGGAAUGGAGGGAGUACUAGAGUAGAUGGAAUACUUUUAUUUAUCCUGUACUCAUCUUCCCUAAGAUCCUAUGGCCAUUUUAUGGACAACAAUAAAUAUGGACUACUCAUCUUUCCUAACAUCCUUCACCAAGUAUAGUAUGUUCAUACACGACUUUAUUUAGACCUCUUCCAAUACAAAGAUGCUUAGAGGAGGUGCUAACUGCAUUAAAUACCUUAGCAACUCAAUUCCCCAAUGUAUAGGUGCUUAACUUGUUGUUGCUAAGCACACUUUAUUUAAUGACUUAGCACCUAAAGUCUUUCAUGCAUUGGUCAAAUUGCUUCAUUUAAGUGAUUUGCCUAGGUUCUCGUGCUUGGCAUUGGUUCUUCCUGGGGUCACUGAAGUGCUCUCUCCCCUCCUUAAAUGUUGUGUCAUGUCAUUUUUUCGCUUACGUGGCAUGCUUAGCACCUGUCCAUGAUGAAGCACUGGGAAGGGCCUUAAGUUCCCUGUAGUGUGAAAAGGCAAUGGAGGGCGAUCGCCCACCUGAACUUAAUUGCUUAAUUAUCAUGCACAAUCAAUCCCUUUUAGCAUAUUUUAUAUCUUUAUUUUCCAUCUUAUUGCAUCGUUUCUUCAUAGAUGUGUUGACUUUCAGCUAUGUUGACCUAUGACAAAUUCAGAAAAUUGUUAUAAAACUACAAAACUGCUCCGUUAACGAAAUGAAGUUAGGCCAAUAAUCCUAAACCUACUGACAAGGUGGUUAAGGACAGGGUUAUGGCUAAUCCUUCACCAAUCCCACUAACCUUUCCUCUUGAAUUUCGCUAUGGGUCUGUCACUAACCCAUCGAGAUGACGCCACAUCGGCUCGUAAAUCUCCCUUGUAACUAAAAUGUUUGUACAUGUAGCAUUACUCUUUCUGCAGUAUCCAUGAUUGAUGUGAAUAGUACUAGACACUUUUCUUUGAUUGUGUGGGUGCGUUUGAAUUUGUUCACUUUUACGGGUUGUUCUGCAUUGACAUUUGGGGCCCACAUGUCAACACUUUAUUUAAAAGUGCUACCAAAGUUAAAAAAAAACAUCGCACUAUUUUGAUCCCACAACAUCACAUUUAGAGACAUUACAACCCCACAACUUUCCAGGCAUCUCAGGCCAUUUACGUUUCUCACCGUUGGAUCAUCACCUGAGGUCGUCCCUAGCUGUUUGAUCAACUUCCAUUCCCACGUGGGCUACUUACUUCCGCCACCCAUCGAUUCACGUAGAGACCAGAUGUUGAUGUGUCAAAAUCAGUCAACUUAUGUGUAUUUGAGCCUCACGGUGUUUUCUUCGUUCUAUAAAAAUAUCAUGGCUUUUUCUCAAAAAAAUAAAAAUUCACGGCAAAAUAACCUUCCUCAUCUAGCGUUCGCAAGUCAGAUCCUAUUGGCAUUUCCUAUUUGGCGCUGCAGGUGCCGGUUAGAGUUGUUUCCGCAAACCGGCGCCUGCAGUGACGCUAGUUGGGCUCGGCCCAUCUAUUAUUCCCCCACCCGCCUCCCCAAUUUUGAAAAACAAUAAAAAAGGAGAAACGUGGCAUGCUUAGCACCUGUCCAUGAUGAAGCACUGGGAAGGGCCUUAAUUUCCCUGUAGUGUGAAAAGACAACUGAGGGCGAUCGCCCACCUGAACUUAAUUGCUUAAUUAUCAUGCACAAUCAAUCCCUUUUAACAUAUUUUAUAUCUUUAUUUUCCAUCUUAUUGCACCGUUUCUUCAUAGAUGUGUUGACUUUCAGCUAUGUUGACCUAUGACAAAUUCAGAAAAUUGUUAUAAAACUACAAACUGCUCCGUCAACGAAAUGAAGUUAGGCCAAUAAUCCUAAACCUACUGACAAAGUGGUUAAGGACAGGGUUAUGGCUAAUCCUUCACCAAUCCCACUAACCUUUCCUAUUGAAUUUCGCUAUGGGUCUAUCACUAACCCAUUGAGAUGACGCCACAUCGGCCCGUAAAUCUCCCCUGUAACUAAAAUGUUUGUACAUGUAGCCUUACUCUUUCUGCAGUAUCCAUGAUUGAUGUGAAUAGUACUAGACACUUUUCUUUGAUUGUGUGGGUGCGUUUGAAUUUGUUCACUUUUACGGGUUGUUCUGCAUUGACGUUUGGGGCCCACAUGUCAACACUUUAUUUAAAAGUGCUACCAACGUUAAAAAAACAUCGCACUAUUUUGAUCCCACAACAUCACAUUUAGAGACAUUACAACCCCACAACUUUCCAGGCAUCUCAGGCCAUUUACGUUUCUCACCGUUGGAUCAUCACCUGAGGUCGUCCCUAGCUGUUUGAUCAACUUCCAUUCCCACGUGGGCUACUUACUUCCGCCACCCAUCGAUUCACGUAGAGACCAGAUGUUGAUGUAUCAAAAUCAGUCAACUUAUGUGUAUUUGGGCCUCACGGUGUUUUCUUCGUUCUAUAAAAAUAUCACGGCUUUUUCUCAAAAAAAUAAAAAUUCACGGUAAAAUAACCUUCCUCAUCUAGCAUUCGCAAGUCAGAUCCUAUUGGCAUUUCCUAUUUGGCGCUGCAGGCGCCGGUUAGAGUUGUUUCCGCAAACCGGCGCCUGCAGCGACGCUAGUUGGGCUCGGCCCAUCUACCAUUCCCCCACCCGCCUCCCCUGUUUUGAAAAACAAUAAAAAAGGAGAAAUGUGAACCCAGGAAUCGAACCACCGAUCCCUCAGUUGACAGCUAACUCUAGUAAUAACCACCAAGGCCACGACCUCACCCGUGAAUACAAACAUCCUUUCCUUCUCUUUAUAUACAUACAGGAAAUGCCCUCCAUGUUCUCUGUGUUUUUUCCCCUUUCUUUUUUGUUUCCUGGUUUUUUUUCUUUUUUAUUAAAUACGUGAUAUGUUUAAAAUAGACGAUUUUUUUUUUCUAAUUCAUGAACUUUUUUAAAAAUUGAUGAACUUUUUUCAAUUUCAAUGAACUUUUUAAAACUUGAUUAACUUUUUUUGAAAUGAAUGAACUUUUAACAUUUUGAUGAACUUAUUUUAAAAUCCGAUGAACUUUUUUCAAAAUUUUGGAUUUAUUUGAAAAUUCAUGAACUUUUUUUCAAAUUGAAUGAACGUUUUUGAAAUUUGGUGCACUUUUAUUAAAAAAAGGAUGAACAUUUUUGAAAUAAAUGAACUUUUUAAAUUUGUAUGAACUUUUUCCAAAUUCGAUGAACCCUUUUUCAAAUUGAUGAACUUUUUAAUUUUAUAGAUGAACUUAUUUUGAAAAUCAAUGAAUUUUUUUUGAAAAUUGAUGAACUACUUUUGAAUUCGUGAACUUUUUUUGAAUACAUGAACUUUUUCCAUUUGAUGAACUUUUUCCUUUUGAAAACAAAUUCUUAAAUUUUCUGAAUGUUCGCGAACAUUUUUUGAAAUAACUCCCGAACUUCGCUACCGCGCGGGUACAGAUUGCUCUGAAGUAUUUUCACGCUUCUCAUGGUCAGUAGUUGCAGGUUGGUCAAGCGGUUUACCUAACGUGUAAAAGAAUGCAACUGUACGAGUUCGAAUCCUCAUAUCAGCAGUUUUUAGGGUUUUCUUUUCGCUGGCACUGCUCGUAGUGGGUCGGCCCAAUAGCGUUGGCUCGCAGGCGCCAGGGAGCUUCCGUGCCGCCUGUAGCGCCGAGUAGGAGGUCCCGAUACUAUUUGGCGCGUAGGUCGCGCGUGAGCAACCUAGCGCGCACCCCUCCAGCGCUCGAUCCAGUGUUUGGGCCGGUCCAUUUAGUGUUUAUUCCCCACCGGUUUUGGGUUUGGUGAACCAGUUUAUUUGUUUUCCUUUGUUUUUUCUUCCAGAUUUUCUUUAUUUUCCUUUUAUUUUCUCUUUUAUGUUUCUUUUUAUUUUUUAUUAUUUAUUUCUGUUUCUUUUCUAUUUAAUUUUUUCGAACAUCUCUAAAAUUUAUGAACAUUUUUAAAUGUAUUAUCAUUACUUUGAAAUAAUGAACAAUUUGCAUUUUUUGCAAUUUUUUGAAUUUUUUAUAAAAUCAUGAACAUUUGUCAAAUUCAUAAAAAAAUUAUAAUUCAUGUAUAAAUUUUAAAAUUUUCAAUAGUUUCUGAAACUCGUGAACAUUUUUGGAAUACACAAACAUUUUUUUGAAAUGCAUCAUCAUUUUCCGAUUUCAUGAACAUUUUCUGAAUCAGCAAACACUUUUUUAACAGAUAAGAUUUUUCGUUUCUGUGAACCUUUUAGAAAAUCAUGAACAUUAUUUUAAUGCGCAAAAUUUUGUACAAAUUCAUGAACAUUUAUUGGAAUACGCAAAAAAAAUUCAAAAUCGUGAAUAUUUUUUGAAUAUCCGAAACUUUUCUCAAAAUCAUGAACAUUUUUUUAGUGUGCAAGCCUAACAUGAUUUCUCGAACUUUUUUUUUCAAAAUCAUGAACAUUUUUUUGAAUUCAUGGUUAUUUUAUGAUUUCUUGUUCAAAAUUCGCAAUUAUUGAGAAAUUUGGAUCUUUUUUGGAUGUCAUGAUUUUUUUUAGAAAAGGUAAAAAACGAAAUAAAAAGACAGGGGGUGUCCUGCCCCGUGCAUGGGCCGGCUCAACGGGGCGCGAGGGGGCUGGGGGUGGCGCGCUUCCGCGACUUCCGGCGCCCAGGUCGCCAAAUAGGAGCUUCCCGUGCACUAGCUCACUAGCCGCCCCCCCACCAUGGGCCAUGGUAAGUUAAGCGGGGGUGGCAACCAUGGUGAUCCUACACCUGGUACGACCGAGGUGGCCGACCAGGUACAUCUGCUGGCAGCGCCAUGAAGAGGUAGCACGGGCAUUGAAUCGUCUGCUGAUGAUUCGAGUACCUUCACCAGUGAUUCCGGAACUAAAUCGCAGUUCCCACAGGUCAUGAAUGAUAAUAUAUAUGAGGCGGUCACAGUCGCACGAUAAUCGCAGGUUAGUUAUGUUGUCGAUUUAUGCCAUCCCCAUACUGUACGCACCUCCAUAUAAUCUGUAUCACUGCUCCUUCCCAUUCCCUUCGCUACCCAGCAAAAUCUUCUUAGACACCCAUGAUUGAUGCUUAGGGUCCUAACUAACCCCCCCUUUGCCUACCUAUCUUACCUCUUCUUCCCCCAAAUUAUGCACGCCCAAUUUUGUUCAUGCUCUUUCUAUUUCCAAAUUAUGUUGAUUGGAGCUUUGCUUGAGAGGGGUUUACUGAAUGGCAAGGUGAAGCACUGCUGUAAGUGCAUCUAGUGCUACCCCUAGUUGGUUUUGGAGUACUGACGACAAACCUGGUUGAGGGACUGAUGUGUCUGUGAGAAUUACAGGAUAACACCGGUAGUAGUCCCUUAUUGAUUCGGUUUACCUACCAGAGAUGACCCCUAAAAAUGUGUGAAGACAUUAAAGACAAUGGUGGUUCGUGAAGACAUUCACGAUGAGGAUUAUGACAUGAGAAGACAUUCAUAUGAAGACUAUGGAGUGCGAAGACAUAGUUGUUUCGUAGUUUCCUUUUCUUCUUUGUUGAGUCAUAGGAACCACCGUACUGUUAAGUGGGGUCCCAGUGAACAAAGUCAGAGUGACUGAAGUGAUGUUCAACCAAAUCCUAUGUCUUCGAGCGAAGACAAUGAGAGCAAACCUUAUCCAGAGCUGGAUGAGUCAGCCUUACUUGUAGCCCAAGUCAAGCUGCCGCGUGUGUUUGAAAUCCGACCGUUGGACACGUGUCGGUUCCUUAGUGACCCAGAGUCAUUUUGGACAAAUCAGGUCGGGUUGCCUCCUGGCUAUAAAUAGCCCACCCCCUACACCAUAAAUUGGUGGCUGCUCAGAGUUAGUGCACGGCUUUUGUCGUUUGAGAGCAACCCACCUCCGAAGCAUUUGAGAGAGAGAGAUCCUUGCGAGGACAAAGCCCAAAACACCCAGAGCCAAAGAGUCUUAGGCAUCACUGAAGUCUUUCUGUCCGCGUGACCUGAAGACUUGUUACACUUGAGGAAUGUGAAUCCUCCAGCCGGUUAGGCGUCGCGCUCUGAGCAUCCAAGAGCCAUUAUGGAUUGCCAGUGAACGAAGUCUGUGAAGGUUUGGGAGUCUACCUUGAAGACUUACCAUAGUGAUUGGGCAAGGACUGGGUGUCCUUAGCUCAAGGGGAAUAAGGUGAAGACGCGGUCUUCUGAGUUAAAUCUCAGCCUCCCUAACCAGACGUACAGUUGUCACAGCAACUAGAACUAGUCUACCAAACCCUUGUCUUCACCAAGCAACUGGUUCUAUCCUCCGCUUCCUUUACUUUACAAUUUGUCUUCAUGAGGUCAUUGCCUACUUGCAUGAUCUGAUUGUCUUCACUGUGUGAAAUUUACUGUUCGGCUUUAUACUGUCUUCCAUCCUGAUCCAUUCUACCUAGCUGCUGAUAGUCUUCGUGCUUUCACUUCAUUGCCUACUUGAAUAUGGUUUGUCUAGUGUAGUCUCACUACUAGGGAAAACCUUAUACACAGAAUCUUAGCAGCAGCGCGGCACAAAAAGAAGCGCUACUGCUAAUUAGUAGUAGCGCGGUCAGAGAAACCUCGCUAUUGAUGCAAAUUUAGCAGUAACGCGUGAGGGCUAAACGGCGCUGCUACAAAAAUCGACCGACAGAUACCAACACCCUAAGUUUAGCAGCAGCGCGGGGUAACGGUGCGCGCUACUGCUAAUGCAGUAGUAGUAGCGCGCUUUUUACUCACGUCGCUGCUGCUAAUUUUCAAAUUAUCCGCACGGUUGGCCCCGUUUAGCAGCAGCGCGUGUGAGAAAAGCUCGCUGCUGCUACGCUCUUAUCAGUAGCGCAUUUUUGCUCCCGCGCUAUUGCUAAGUCAAAGCCCACCACCUUUUUCCACCCGUCCUCCCCUCCCCAUCUCCUCUCCUCCCUUUCCCCUACCUCCCACAUCCUCCCUCUCUCACUCUUCUUCUUCCUGAAUACUUUCCCCCCAUUACUCUCCCUCUUCUACCUACCUUUCUCUCUCUUCAUUACUCCUAGCUAACUACACCACCUCCAUUAAUGCAUCUCCUUUCUCUUUUUCCUUCCCCCUCCACUAGUUGAAGUUGUCUCCUCCCAAAUUAGCUUGCUAGGUAGAUGUAGCAUUUAGUUAAGUGACCUAUUUGCCCCCUAACUAGAUCUAUCUUUGUCAAGAAGAGCUUUGUGCACUUUUGAUCUCCCUACAUCAUCAUCUCCACCGUGUGCUCUAUCUCGAGAUAGAGGUGAUUAAAAUUUCAUGCUUUUGCAAAAUGGAAAUAUGUGUAUGUGUGUGUGUGAUAUGAUAAUUGGGCAAUAUGAUGGAAAUUGUGUGUGUGGCAUGAGUUGACGCCAAAUUGAGCUUUUGAGUUGCCUAUGUUUUGCCGAAAUGUCGAUUUAUUUUCGUUUCGGCGAAUUCCGGGCAAACUCUAGAUCUAUAUGUCCUAUUUUUAGGGAAGGUCAUGCCGAAUUUUUGUAUGACUUUGAUGCAUGCACGCGUUUUUAUGCCCCCCUUCUUGCUUCACCUUAAGUCAGGCUGAGAUCGAUCAAUUCUUUAAGUGCCUCACCGGAGUCAAAGUUAGUUCCGGUUACUGUGGCAAGAUAAGCAGAUAUCUAGACACGGACAAGAAAAGGUUCAGCGGGAUGAAGUCCCAUGACUGUCAUGUGAUGAUGACGCAUAUACUACCUGUUGCCCUUAGAGGGAUAAUGGACAAGCACGUCCGAGACACGCUUAUUGGUCUCUGCAACUUUUUCGACGUCAUCUCUCGAAAGUCGAUCAGUGUGAAGCAGCUCCGAAGGCUACAGGAAGAGAUCGUUGUGAUACUGAAUGAGCUUGAGAUGUACUUCCUGCCCGCGUUCUUUGACGUGAUGGUGCAUCUGUGUGUCCAUAUUGUGGACGACAUAAUAGACCUGGGGCCAUCAUUUCUGCACAACAUGAUGCCGUUUGAGAGGAUGAAUGGGAUCAUCAAAGGAUUCGUUCGUAACAUGUCCCGUCCGGAUGGAAGCAUCGUCCAGGGCUAUCUGACACAAGAGUGCAUCUCUUUCUGCGAGAAUUUUCCAUAUGGCGCAGACCAGCCGCCUGGUGUUAGUGUUGGUUUGCCCGUUAACAAGCACGAUGGGAGGCUCGAAGGAGAAGGUCACUCCAACGGUCGCAGGGAAUUGCACGUGGCAUACUCAAAUCGACGCAGCGACUUUGACAGAGCAAACUUGGUAGUGCUACAACACCUAGACGAGGUAGAUCCUUUCGUGGCACUGCACAAAGANNNNNNNNNNNNNNNNNNNNNNNNNNNNNNNNNNNNNNNNNNNNNNNNNNNNNNNNNNNNNNNNNNNNNNNNNNNNNNNNNNNNNNNNNNNNNNNNNNNNNNNNNNNNNNNNNNNNNNNNNNNNNNNNNNNNNNNNNNNNNNNNNNNNNNNNNNNNNNNNNNNNNNNNNNNNNNNNNNNNNNNNNNNNNNNNNNNNNNNNNNNNNNNNNNNNNNNNNNNNNNNNNNNNNNNNNNNNGCAGGACGGACGCCGAAGUUACUAGAGAUCACAACUCCACUUUCCUGCAUUGGUUCAAAGAGCAUAUUAUUGCUAAUCCCCCGGAGGAGGGCUCUAAGGACGGAUUGGUCAUAUACGCCUUAGCACAUGGCCCCUCGCCCAACCUCGUAACCUAUCAGGCAUACGAUAUCAACGGAUACACGUUCUACACGGAGGCCAAAGAUAUGGACAGUGAUGAUCAGAACUCAGGGGUGACGAUGGAAUGCAUGACCGGCAGCGACAACGGCACAACUGAAAGAUUUUACGGAAGGGUCGAGGAGAUCUGGGAGCUUGACUACUCUGGACUGCACAACAUGACGAUGUUCCGUGUCAGAUGGGCUAAGAAUGUCGAAAGAGAAAACCGGAAUUUCACUACCAUGACUAUACCCGACGCCAAGAGCGCUACCGUGAACGCUAUCACAAAAAACGAGCCAUGGGUACACGCUAAGCACGUGACACAAUGCUUCUUCAUAACCGACCCGCGCAAUCCCAGCCAUGUUGUCGUGAGGAGAGGCAAAAGGAACAUCAUUGGAAUGGAUGGAGUCGCCAACAAGGAAGACUACGACCAGUACGGCAACCCAAUGAGGGAAGAUGACGACGAUGAUGAAGUAUACGUCAAAGGAAGAAUCAAUACUACAUUACCUAAAAAAAUCGUACUCCAUGAAAAAGGCAAACUCACAAUGAAGGGCUCAAUUAUUCUUCAACGAACAAGAAGGGAAAGAAGCUGACUCAAAAACGAAAACGUCAACGCUGAGGAACUGUAUGUUAUCGGUCAAAUGAUGUAAUAUAUAUGUUCCUAUUUUGUAUGCACACUUAGCCAUUAUUAUGCAUGGGUCCAAUGAUGUAAUAUAUAUGUUCCUAUUUUGUAUACAUAGUUAACCGUCAAAUGAUGCAAUAUAUAUCGCCUUCCCUUCGUUCACUGCUCUCGAAAAAAAAGAAAAGAAAAGUGGGAGAAAAGAAAGGAAAAGAAAAUAGAAGGAAACAAACAGGAAAACUGUUAUAUAGGUACUGGUUAUAGCAGCAGCGUUUUUGUGAGAAAAGAGCUACAACUAGUCAAGAUAGCAGAAGCGGUUUCUACUCGAAACUGCUAUAGCUACCUGGAGUAGCUAUAGCGCGUUCUGCCUAAACACGCUACUGCUAUGCCCACUUAACCUCCAAAAUCCCCACUCCUCCCUUCAUCCCGCCUCUUUUCCCCCAAAUCCGCACACUCUCUCUUCCCCCGUCGCGCCGCCGGAGCCCUGCCCUCGCCGCGCCUCUGCGCUCGCCCCCGACCGACCCCGGCUCCGGCCCCGGCCCCCGACCCCGACCCCGACCGACCCCGACUCCGGUCCCGGCGCUCGACCCCGACCGAUCACGACCCUGGCCCUGGCGCUCGACCCCUCUCAACCUCGUCCGUCGUCGGGCCUGCACCCUCUGUAAGCCCCCCACCGCUCCUCCUCUCUCUGGUAGCUAGGUUUUUUGGUUAAUUUACUUAGGUUUUAGUUAGGGCAGAUGGUUAAUUAGGUUAUAUAUUUAGUUGUGAAUUUAGCUCGGUUUUUUCUUCAAGUUCUAUAUUUUUCUUCCUUUUAUAUGCAAAUUUGAAGUGGGCAUGUGAUAUGUGGACAUGUGAUGUUUUGGACAUGUCAUAUUUGAAAUUUGGACAUGUCAUUUGGACAUGAUGAUUAUGUGCAGGGUAAAUGAUCCGAGUGGCCUAUGUUACGCCGGAAUGUUGAUUCAUUUCCGUUCCGGUGAAUUUUAGGCGCUCGAUAUGUCCAUUUUUUAGCAAAGGUCAUGCCGAAUUUUCCGUGAAAUUUGGCAUGAUUUGUGCUGGAUAGUAGGCAUAUCGAGUGCUGGGAGUUGCUGGGAAACGACAUUCCGGCGAACAUAGAUUUCUUUUUUAUGUCAUUUCUCAUUUUUCAUAGUUUUAGAAUUAAACGAGGAGACUUAAUCAUAGGAAACAUGUCGAACAACGAAGAAACUGGGCCUUCUGACCAAUAUGCAGACGAGAUGGAUUAUGAGGGUGAACAAGAGUACCUCGACUAUUUGACUGCUAAGCAAUUGCAAAGUCAAGGUUUGCAGGUCGGCCUCGAUGAUGGUACUGACGCCGACAUCGACACCGAUGGCGACACCGAGACCGGCGGGGAAGGUACCGGCGCCGAUGCUGCUACCGAAAAGAAGAAGCAGAGGAUAUGGAAACCUAACAAACUAGGGAUUGGACGACUGGUGAUCACAAAGAUGGCACCUGGCAAGUUUGAGCCAUUAGAGGCAGAAGAACCUUGCAAGUGCUAUGCGAACCAAGUAGGAUGCAUCCUACGGGAAUGCGCGAGCAUCAACGACGAUGACUUAAGGAGUAAAGAAUAUUUGACGCAGUUGCUCCUGACGAAGUUGCAGAAGAGAUUCAAGUUCCCCGACCGGGAUGAUAACAUAGAACAACCGUGGGAUGAUCCGAAGAUGAAAAAGAUUAACAAUCACGCCAUGGGCAUGUUCAGCAAUGAUUUGGCCUCCUGGAAAUGGAGGGUGAAACGAGCUAUUGAGGCUGAGGAACCCCUGUCCAAGAUUCUGGAGGAAAAUCCGACACUUACGGAAGAGGAGUUCAAAAAGUUCAAGGACACUUGCACUACCAAGGCAGCCAAGGCUAAGGCUGCGAAAUUCAAGAGCCUUCAGCAAAGGAACACGGGGAAGCAUCGCCUCGAAAGUCGUGGCUACCUCGGUAAAAGGCCCAUAUGGGAUAAGGAGGACGCAGAACGUGAAGCCGUGGGUAUCCCAGACCCCUUCGCGAAGUUCACCAACCCCUUGGAGCGUGACUUCAUCAGGGCCCGCUACAAGUGGUACAAGGAAAAGAAUGUUUUUUACACGGACCAGAUCACGAGGAAAUUGAUUAGACUACUGGUAAUUAUUCUUUUACCACCUUACAUUUAGCUCCAGAUCUAGUGGACUACACAUUCCUAAACGGUUCACGCUCCUUCUGCAGGAGAAGCAACACCAGCUUGCAGCCGAAAGCCCUACUUCUUCGAUGAGGCCCAAGUGGGACACCCCUCUCAACCGGGCCUUGAACGAACUUAAGGGACUCCCUUUGGGCCAGCGGCCGCAAUAUGGUCGUGUGCACGGCGCUGCAGACAGCGCCACGUGGAAGGUGUUUUACAACGAGGGCCCGGAGGCCAAGAAGCAGAAAAAGAAGAUUAGUCAGGCGGACAUCGACGCGAAGGUGAAGCUUGCGGUCAAGAAAAAAGCAGCUGAGGACGCGAAAAAACAGCCGAGGAGAAAAAUGAGUUGCUACAGCAGGCAGUCAAUGCAGCUGUAACUGCCUGCAGAAAUGAUUUCGCUACUAACUUGGUUCCAGCUAUAAUCAACUGGACGAAGGAAAAUCCAGACAAGACGGUACAUGAUUUCCCGUUGCCUAGUUUUGUCGGGAGCAACAACAACACCACUGCACCAUCACUUGCUCACGCAACCGGGCCUCCUCUUGCAGUCGCUCCCGCUCAUAGCAGCCCAUCCUCAGUCUCUGGCGCGCUAGGUGGGCCUUCGUCUUUGGCUGAGCUCGAUGCCGUCACGGUAGAAUAUUCCAUUUUCGUUGCCUUUCGGAUGUUUUACGCCACAGACAUGUGUUUGCAGGCCGAAGAAACCCCGUGCACCAUACUCUACUUGAUCAAAGGCCAGAAGGUGGACGUGGGAAAGGGGAUGAUAACGAACCCCUUGCAACCCACGUUCCACAACCAGCCGAUCCCCGAUGGGCACUUCAGGGUUAACUUGUCCAGUGUGAAAUCAGGGCACGAGGAUUUGCCUCCUCCAGUACAGCAUGUGGGAGAGGACGACAAGACCCCGCCGCGGAUUGGAAGCUGCAAGGGUCGGGUGCUGCUAUGGCCGAAGAAUCUUAUUCGUCUGGAGCCGGCCGAGAGCACACCAAUAACCACACAUCAACAAGCAUGUGCGGAGACCACCACCCCACCUACACAAUUACCAUCUCCUGUAGUGCCGGGUGAGAGCGGCGGGCGACGUGAUGAAGGGGGUGCAAUAGUACUGGCUGAUGUAAUCGGUCCUGUAGAACAGAGAAUGGAUGAUGAGACGGAGGUCGACCCAAUGGCUUUCCUCAAUACAAACGCGUAUGACUGUGACUUAGAUAUGAUGAGUCAACCAUAUGACGAAUCGGGCUAUCAGCAUGCUAAUGAGGAUAUGGAUGAUCUGCCCGGGCAGGAAGGUCAUAGCAGGGACUGCAAAAAGUCUCUCUUCAUGAAAUCCUCACAGGACACGCCUGAAGAUGCCGCCUCAACACAGGCUCAACUAGCCGGGGGUCAUACAGUGCUUAGCCCGGGGACACUGGGGCAGGGGUUAAGGAAGGGUCUGGAAGGUGUGCCCAAGAAAAAGGAGAGGAAGAGAUCGGGGAAGAUAGCUGCCUCCAAACAAGACAGAGCACAUAGCAGCCAGACGAUGGAUUCUGAAGAGCAUGUACCCAUGAAAGGUGCGGCCAUGCUCCAUCUCACGGGCGAGCCGAUGCUACCGCCGAACCGCUGGAGGCACUAUCAGGGGAUCUCAGGAGACUGCACGACCAUGUGCUGUCGACUGAGAAAAGCCUACUAGCCUCGAAGGAUCUAGGAUAUCCGACAUACGCGGCUCGUGUGCCUGAGGGGAAGUGCUACGUCGACACACGACACGCGGAGGUGUUCUUCCUGCGGUUUGACCAUAUCUUUGAGAUGUUUCUAACAAGGCGGCUCGAUUUUACAAUCGUCCGCCUUUUUGCGCUACAUAUGAGCUCCGUCAUGAAGAGAGAAGAAGUCUCACAAAUCUGUUUGCGGAUCCGUACUACAUGCACGAGUCUUUCUUGAGUCUUGACGACUUUGAGCGUGAAAUUGCUAGGGACUACCUCCAAAACUUCAUGGUACAGAAUAAGGACCAGCAAAUUGUCCUCCUGCCUUAUCAUCCAAAGUAAGUCAGUUCCAGACAACCCUUUCGUACAUUUCAAUCAUUCCUUCUCGAUCAUAUGGAGAAUAAUUUGAGGUGUCUUUUCCCCGCAGCAACGGGCACGCCGUCCUUAUCGUUCUUUACCCGCGAGUCUCCCACGCCGUGUAUUUCGACCCUUCCAGAGACUACGAGAAGAAGGACUACACCCACAUAAUGAAUAUUCUAGAUGAUGCUCUCCAAGGCUUCAACAUUAGAGGUGGCCACAUGCAGAUCAGGAAACAAAGGAACACGAAGAUGGGUUUCGUGCAUAAAACUAACUUCUGCUGCAUCCAUGUCCGAAAACCAAGCAAGAAAGAUGGAUUCUACAUCCUCCAUCUCAUGAUUGAUUUCAGCACGGAUCACCAAAAGCUUCGCAUGACAAGCAGAAAUGAUGAUCAUAUCCACAAGUGGGUAGAAUCUCAUGGAGAAGCGGAUUAUAAACUUAGAGAUGACUUCUUUCGCAUCCGAAGGGACAUUGCGACGAUCAUCAUGAAAGAAGUCGUUGAUGAGAAGGGGAUGUUCCACCACGGCCCUAUAUCGCGAGCUGACGUCCGAACUCGCAUGGGCAUGCAACGUCAUGACCUCACGCCGUUCAAGAAGCUAGGGUCCAUCCUCGAUGAUAUGGAAGGAUGGAACUUCUAGUGAUUUACGAUGCCGAUGAUGAUGAUAUGCGUCGGUUGAACUUGUAUACUUUCUGUAGCGAUGAAACUUUGUGAGGUCCACGGUCCCUGCCGAACUUGCGUAACGCUACUUUGUUAGUUUGGGUACGAUAACCUGCGUACCUCUAGUUAAUUAGUUUGCGUACUGUAUGUUGCAUCUAGUUGCUAACCCUUUCUUUUUCGUGUUGCUCUAGUAUAUUUUGUUGCAUAUGAUUGUACAUCCUCUUGAUGAAGAUGCAUCUCUAACAGGUACCUAGUUUCUUGAUGGCGAGAUGGCAGUGCUAUGUCGUGUACAAAGGGAAGGUUCCGGGGGUGUACAAUGUCGGUGUUCUGGGAACGGGGGUCCCCAGACUUGCCUGCCUACGGCCCACGGCGUGGCUAUGCUAGCAAGCCUGUACGACCCAUCUUCAUCAACAAGGCACCCAAGACCCUCGCGAGGGGCCAAGCCUCGCGAGGCGCCCCUCGCGAGGCGGGCGACGCAAGACCUCCUCAGGAGCGGCCUCCCCAGGUUGCCUCACGAGGAGCGGAGAUAUCAAGGCGGGGCAAACCUCGCGAGGCUCUCGUGACGUGAGCCAUGACGAUCAAGACCAGGCGGGCGCCAGCGCGCGCAGCGUCCUUGUUUCUUCUUUGGUGCUAAGGGGGCAAGCACGAAGUACCGAGGCAUCAAGCAAAGGUUUCCCUGUUAGUGCAACGAGAUCAAGACCAGCAGGACGGAGGUCACCAUGGAGCCCAAGACGGCGUCACCGCCAGGGCCUUUUGCAGGCGAAGACCGCUUUUGUCAGGAUAGCUUGUACUAGCUCUCCCCUUUCAAAUUUCCCAUCGUUGUUGGCUCCCUUCCUGCUCAAUAUUUGGGAAGAGGACCAUGGCCUCUAUAAAUAGGUCUAGCCACCGUAGUAGUAGGAUGGAGUUAUUACCCACAAGUUCACAGAGCACAAGAACACCUCAACCUCAGGAGGUUGUUCUUCACCUUGUACUGUUCAUCAUCAGCCCAAGAGGCAAUCCACCACCACCACACUGGAGUAGGGUAUUACACCACAACAGUGGCCCGAACCAUUAUAAAUCUCGUGUCUUUCUAUGCUGCGAGUUGGUCAAGUUCGUCCGCGAGAUCUUAGUGAGCUAGGGCGUAGAUCGGUAGGAGGGAGAGAACUUCGCGCGCACUCCAGAGUUCGAACCUUAAGGGUUUUCCCGGAACCCCAGAUCCGACAUUUGGCGCGCCAGGUAGGGGUGCGCCGGGGCCUCUUCCUCGCUGAUCGGUCUGCCGACGCUCCACGUCCCGAUGUCCAGCAAUCUAAGGCCAGACUCCGACUGCUGGGCAGCUUGGCCAGCCCGAGCGGUGUCACCUGCCCAAGAAGACCACGACCCCGCGCUCCAGGCGGCUCUUGCGCCGUCCAACGCUGCGGGGCGCGGGCGGCGCAGCCAGGCGUCGUCCACCCUCACUCCACGACAAGUACGAGCCGCGGCAAGGGCAGCAAGCCACGCCGCAGCAACGGCGCUGCACUCGCGGCGGGAGCACGCAAACAUGUGGGCAGCACUCACGGUGGCGCGAGAGCUGCUGCGGUGCCGGCUGAUGGAGAGCGGCCGGGAUGCACUGCUGGAACGCGUUGCCGAGCUGCUGGAUGCGGCGGCGUCGGGGGCGCCGCCCUUCUGCCACCAGCUUCCUCCUCAGGCCACUACAGGGUCUCACGGCGGGCCUCGCCGCAACCACGCGCCAUCGGGUGUGCGUGGGGGCUUCGUCAACGCCAGCACGGCCGGCGACGCCGGGGGCUCCGCCGCCCCCAUGCCGCCCGCGACAAGCAUGAGCACAAGCGUCGCCUCCCAUGGUCCCAGUGGGAUGCAGCGCUAUCAUCCUCAGGACACCACGCUGGGCCGGGCAACAUGGAGUGUGGGGCACUACGGCGAGGUGUUCGGGGUGACGGCCCCUGAAGCCUACGUGCCCCACAUGAUGGACCGGGAGUACGCACAGGAGGACGAUCCUGGCUCGUUCAUCGGAGAAGGUUGGGAAGAAGAGGCGCUGGAAGUUGAGGCCUUCCAGGAGCCACCAGGGAACCACCACGACCGCGCCUACAACGACAACUACAGGGUACCCCUAACCCCUCAGGAGCAAGCUUACGCUAACCGUGAGUCGCAGGAGGAACAGAUCACCACAGCGGCCGGCGGCCCCAGCUCGGCGGCCUCCUUGCCAACAGGGGAAUCGCGUUGGGGGCUGCAGGAGAGGGGUCGGGAGCCAGAUCCCUCUCCGCGACGCGCGAAGCCAGGGGACACCCAGAGGUAGGCCCUCUGUCGGGGAGGUGCCGGCGAGCCAGAUCCCUCUCCACGACGCGCGAAGCCAGGGGACACCCAGAGGUAGGCCCUCUGUCGGGGAGGUGCCGGCGAGCCUUCCCCCGGUAGUGGACCCGUGGUCGCCGAGGGCGCCGCUGGUGUCCCCUUCCCCCUUUGUGUCGUCCUGGUAGCCGGUCGACUCAAAGGCGGUCGAGGGUGGCGCAAUGCGGGCCCCUCGUCUGGCGAUAUGAAGCAAGGCCGGUACCUGUGAAGAAGGCCCAGUGCCUGUGAAGCUCGCCGCCCGUGACACUCUCACGUAAUAAUGAGUUGGGGCUGUACAUGCCCCGGAGUCUCAGGGGUGCCGGCCUCAGGCCCUAGGGCUCGCUCUCACGCCUAGUGGCAGCACUUAGCUCCGCGCUGGUGAGAAGACUUGAAGACCAGAAGACUAGAAUAGGCGCCGGACGCGGCCUUUCAUUUUGGAUCUCUUUUUUAUAGCCUUGCUUUCUGGAUCUAGAUUUAAGUUGAAGUCGAUUUUUUAUCGAUGCACGCGGGGGGUGCCUUUUCUCAUUCGAGCAAUUUCUUGCUUUCUGGAUUUCGUUCUGCCUGGGACUCAUGUCCGUCGCCUUCCCCUCACGAGCCCCUCGCGAGCGGGACUGUGCGAGGCGCAUGCGUGCCGAGUGCGCGCUAACGCUGCAACUGGUGCUUGCCUCUUGCGAGGCUCCUUCUGACGGGUCGACAAGCUCCGCAGGAUUCUCAGAAACUCGUCGCCUCACUACCCAGCUCGAGGCUGGCGCUGACUAAGGUAAACCACGACGGGAAACUCGCCCCUGGACUUAUGAGCUCGCGAGGGCACAUACUCCAUACCGCAUAGGAAAGUAAAGGCUGCAACUUGCUUACAUGAGGGGCUCCCCCUCUCAAAAUGCUCUUACAAGUUUUCCAAGGGCCACGCCCGAGUUUUUGCGUACAGGAUAAAACGACAGGAGAAGAUGGGAUCAGCCGGAUAUGUUGCUCGCUACAUCGUCCUCGGACGCGUCACCCGCGUCGUCUUCAUCUUCGCCGGCACUGUCGCCGCCUUCGGCGAUGCCUCUGUCCCGUCGUCAACCACGCCGCCUUCGUCUGCGACGACCACCACCGCGUCGUCGUCAGAAGCGAAGGCUCUGACCAGCGCAUCCACGUUGUCCUCCACCCACCGCGCCAGAUCGCCCCGGACGGCCUGUGUAACGGGGGCAAUGGCGGCGUCGAAGUCAAAGUCAGGGAAUGUGUUCCUGAGGUGGCUGAAGACGCGGGAGAACGCGCGCCCGAGCAGGCCCUGGCUUCUCUCCUCCACGAGCCGGCGAGCCCUGUCAGACCAGGCUUCCAGGCGCGUCACCACGUCGGUGAAGAAGAUCAGGUGGCUGGCGUAGUCAUUCGAGUGGGGGUGCGGUGCAUUCUCAUCGCAGAUGUGGCCUAGGAUGGUAUUAGCCCUGUUCCGGAGGUCCUGAAGCAUGCGGGCGUGCUCGCGCUCCAGCGUCCGUCGUUGGAGCACUUCCUCCCUGUUUUGCCGCGCGACGGCCUCAGCGUCAUCAACCCGUUUCCAAAGAGAAAGCAGCUCGGCGCGGGCAGAGGCCAAGUCCGCCUGCGCCGUGACCAGGGCGGCAGCCGUGGCCUCCCCACGCCUCUCCGCCUCGUCCAACCUGGGCCUGAGGGCAGCGGCCCUGCCCGCAUCCUCCGUUCCUGCGAGCUUCAACUUCAAGUCAUACCUACCCUCCAGAUCUGUGCGAACCUCGGCCACCCGGCGAUCGACUUCCUCCUGCACCUUGGCCUCGCGAACCCCAACGGCAUCUUCUGCUUGAGCAACUUGACGCUCCCUCGUCUCCAGUUGCUCGAGCUCAAGGCUGCGCUGCACGGCCUCCAGAGCCAACGCCUCCUCGCGCUUCCAUAUCUCUUCUUCCUCGACGGGCUUCCCCCUCAGCGACGCAAGGGUGGCCCUACGCGCCUCCACCUGCUGCUCGAGAGACACACUCCAGGCCUGGAGCUCCCACGCGCGCUUCUCCGCAGCUUCGCGACGGCGGUCAGCCUCGCGAGCCUCCUCCAAGGCUCGGGAGCAAGCUUCGCGGGAAACCUUGAGGGACGCCUCGGCCUUCGCAUUGUCAAGAUCGCGCUGGUAGCGGCCCAGGUUGAUAGCCACCCUCAGCUUACACCACUCCUCCGCUCGCCGAAGGCCUUCAGCCUCAAGACGCGAGUCGACACCCGCAAGUUCUUCGCCCAGACGGCUCAUCGCGCCCAUCGCCUCCUGGAAGAGCUCAUGGCGGACGACGCUCCGCCCGCGCUCGGACUCAAACGCGCGGCCCACCUCGUCCUCCGCCUCGGGGGCUGCAGGCGGGGCAUCAAGCGGCGCAGCCCCCCUCGGCAGGGGGCUGGGGGCUGGUGCCACCCCAGGCGCCAGCCCGACCUCGCAAGGGCCCCCGGCCAGCCGGGGCCCGCCGCUUGAAGAAGAACUGCAGGCCGAAGCCAACUAGCUACUGUCGAUGACCAGAGGAGGGGUCCUGGGCACGUCCGCCAGGCUCCAUGCCAAGUCGUAGGGGAGGAACGACAAGGUCGCAGGAUCAGCGCGCCACGAAGGCAAGGGCGCUCCGUCAACCAACCCUGCUCCAGGGGCAGCAAGCGGACUCGGAGUGCUCAAGGCCAAUGGGGGAGUCGAGGAAGGAGGAGGCCGUUUCUCAGGAGGCGCGGCAGCCUCGACGGAAGGAGCCCUGAAGGACUGACGUCAGGAGAUGAAAACAACACACAAGAAGCCAUAGCAGUACGGCACUUACACGUCGAUGGCGAUGUACUUCCUUCGCUUCAGCGGCCCGAAGAUGUUGUUGCCGCUCGGGGAUCCUUUCCUCUUGCGGAGCUCCUCGAAGUCCACGCAAAGCCGACCGAAGCGCUGGACGUGGCAGCCGGCGCGGGGCGAGGCCGAGGAAGAGCUUGGAGGGCCUACUUCAGGGGUGCCCGGCCGCGGUGAACGGUCGGGCGCUGUCUCACCACAACCUACCGAGGCAUCCGGGGCCUUGGCCUCGGGAACCGCAUGCUGCAUCACCACAGUAAUCGCCGCCCCAGGAGAGGGGUCGCAAGCUCCCGAGGACGACGCCCCAGGAUCACCACGCGGCAAGUGUUCCUCAGCACUUGAGCCACCGGCCUCAGUCGGAGCUCGCCCUCCUGCACCCUCACCUGGGGCGAGCUCGGCACCGGCGGGAAGGAAGGGAACCACGACGACAGGGUUCUCGCGGGGCCCCACCAGGGCGAUCGGCCGCAGCCCCGACUCAUCAAAGGGAGGCAUGCUCUCCGCAAAUUCAUCCUUGUUCUUGCCACGGUAUAGCAAGCAGUUCUUCCCAGGCAAGUUAUCCGGCAAAGAGACACCCGUCAGGACCUUGAGCACUGUUUGCCGCGUCCCGAGACAUAGUCCGGACUCCUGAAACCUCAUAUGGUCCUGACUGCUGAGCAAGGUCCACAUCGGGCGAGAGUGGCGCUGAAGCGGAGCAAUCCGGCGCUUAACGAAUUCCUUCACCACCAUACGCGUGGUCACGCCGCGGUCCUUCAGCCUCCUCAACCUGAACCAGACGGGAGCAAGGCGGGGGCUCGCGAGCUUCUCGUGGCCCCAACUGGAGUUGGGAACAGCAGGCCCUGGUGGAGCAUGGAGCAGAGGGCUGAGCACGCCGGCAUCGACGAACACCCGCCAUGUCCGAAACUCGCUCGUGGAUGGAGGAAGCUCGAAGUCGAUCCCCGCACCCGCCGUUGCGGCCACGGCCUGGAAGCUCACGCACCCCGAGCUUUGCUGUGGGUCGAUCUGAUGCAAUGAGAAGAAAUGGCGGAAGAGGUCCACAGAAGGAGUGAUGCCCACCAUGGCUUCACACACAAAGGUGAAGACGGCAAGGAGAGUCACGCAUUGAGGGUCGAGAUGCAGCAUGUGGAUCUGAUAAUGCUCAAGCACCACAUUGAAGAAGACGGAGAAGGGAGGAAUCAAGCCAGCCCAAAAGGGCAUCGAUGAAGAUUGGGACCUCAGUGGCUGCCCGGGCCAUGCGAGUGCGGGACGCGGGCCAAGCCACCAUCUCUCCCCACUCGUUGAAGCUGGACGCGAGCAUUGGAUGCACCUUGUCCAUGGCCUCGUCGUUGAGCACCAGGGGUCGGCCGAGCGUCGGCACUAUGGUCGGAGGCGCGCUCGGCGAAGACAGGGGUUUCUUCCCCUUGUCUGCUUGUUUCGGUGCCAUGGAGAUGGAGCUGGCAGGAGGCAAGUCAGAUUGGGGAGGAGAAGCAGAGUCUUGAGGAAGCAGAGAGAUUGGGGAAGCAAGGCGCGGACGAUGGAGGAAUAACUGUGUAGAUUGCGGGGGCCGCGUAGCCAGGCGGAUUCUAAGGCAGCGUGGGGAAUCGCAGACGCCCACAUCCAAUCAACCGCCACGCGUCAACCGAGGCCGCAGGCUUUUGGGGCCCGUGGCGCUCCAUACUUGACCUUUGGCUUCGCCUCGAAGCCAAGCCCGAGCGCGCCUUGGGCCCGGGGGCUACUAUCGGUGUUCUUGGAACAGGUGUCUCCAGACUUGCCUGCCUGCGGCCCACGGCGUGGCUAUGCUAGUAGGCCUGUACGGCCCAUCUUCAUCAACAAGGCACCCAAGACCCUCGCGAGGGGCCAAGCCUCUAGAGGCGGGCGACGCAAGACCUCCUCAGGAGCAGCCUCCCCAGGUUGCCUCACGAGAAGCGGAGAUAUCAAGGCGGGGCAAACCUCUCGAGGCUCUCGUGACGUGAGCCAUGACGAUCAAGACCAGGCGGGCGCCAGCGCGCGCAGCGUCCUUGUUUCCUCUUUGGUGCUAAGGGGACAAGCGCGGAGUACCGAGGCAUCAAGCAAAGGUUUCCCUGUUAAUGCAACGAGACCAAGACCAGCAGGCCAGCAGGACGGAGGUCACCAUGGAGCCCAAGACGGCGUCACCGCCAGGGCCUUUUGCAGGCGAAGACCGGUUUUGUCAGGAUAGCUUGUACUAGCUGUCCCCUUUCAAAUUGCCCGCCGUUGUUGGCUCCCUUCUCGCUCAAUAUUUGGGAAGAGGACCAGGGCCUCUAUAAAUAGGUCUAGCCACCGUAGUAGUAGGAUGGAGUUCUUACCCACAAGUUUACAGAGCACAAGAACACCUCAAACUCAGGAGGCUGUUCUUCCCCUUGUACUGUUCAUCAUCAGCCCAAGAGGCAACCCACCACCACCACACUGGAGUAGGGUAUUACACCACAACGGUGGCCCGAACCAGUAUAAAUCUCAUGUCUUUCUGUGCUGCGAGUUGGUCGAGUUCAUCCGCGAGAUCUUAGCGAGCUAGGGCGUAGAUCGGUAGGAGGGAGAGAACUUCGCGCGCACCCCAGAGUUUGAACCUUAAGGGUUUUGCCGGAACCCAAGAUCCGACAUACAAUGAGUGGCCUGAGUGUCAGGCGCAAGUGAAUGGGGUCUCGGGCGCCAGCCAUAAAGGCUUCAAAAGCACACAAGAAGGAGAGGCUAGUUACUUGAGGUUCACGCUAGCGCGAGAGAGGACUCGUAACCGCCGCCUCAUGUACGCAUAGUUCCGCUCUCACUCAUAGUGAUAGCUCUUCUCGCGUAGACCAUUGUUUAGAUGGAUGACGUUGUAGUUGCAAGUAUUCGAGACUUGCAUGUAUCGCUAUUUUCGAGAUGAUGACGACAUACCACUUUAUGUUGGAUGAUGAUUAUGAUGAGACUAUUUGUAUGUAUAUGCUAUGAUUACAUUUGUGGUCUUGCAGCCAUUUGUAUGUGUAUCAUGAUGACAUUUGUAUCUGCUAAAGAUUCUUGUAUAAAGCCUGUUCUAAUACAAAACAAAUAUGCAGAAAAAAACUACUAAAAUUAGCAGUAGCGAGUGGAGAAAAGUUAGCAGCAGUGUGACAGUAGCAGUAGCGCGUCCAGCCAAAGCGCUGAAGGAAAUAUGCCCUAGAGGCAAUAAUAAAGUUAUUAUUUAUUUCCUUAUAUCAUGAUAAAUGUUUAUUAUUCAUGCUAGAAUUGUAUUAACCUGAAACAUGAUACAUGUGUGAAUACAUAGACAAACAGAGUGUCACUAGUAUGCCUCUACUUGACUAGCUCGUUGAUCAAAGAUGGUUAUGUUUCCUAGCCAUAGACAUGAGUUGUCAUUUGAUUAACGGGAUCAUAUCAUUAGGAGAAUGAUGUGAUUGACUUGACCCAUUCCGUUAGCUUAGCACACGAUCGUUUAGUAUUCUUCUAUUGCUUUCUUCAUGACUUAUACAUGUUCAAAUGACUAUAAGAUUAUGCAACUCCCGUUUACCGGAGGAACACUUUGUGUGCUACCAAAUGUCACAAUGUAACUGGGUGAUUAUAAAGGUGCUCUACAGGUGCUUCCAAAGGGUACUUGUUGGGUUGGCGUAUUUCGAGAUUAGGAUUUGUCACUCCGAUUGUCGGAGAGGUAUCUCUGGGCCCACUCAGUAAUGCACAUCACUAUAAGCCUUGCAAGCAUUGUAACUAAUGAGUUAGUUGCGGGAUGGUGUAUUACAGAACGAGUAAAGAGACUUGACGGUAACGAGAUUGAACUAGGUAUUGAGAUACCGACGAUCGAAUCUCGGGCAAGUAACAUACCGAUGACAAAGGGAACAACGUAUGUUGUUAUGCGGUCUGACCGAUAAAGAUCUUCGUAGAAUAUGUGGGAGCCAUUAUGAGCAUCCAGGUUCCGCUAUUGGUUAUUGACCGGAGACGUGUCUCGGUCAUGUCUACAUAGUUCUCGAACCCGUAGGGUCCGCACGCUUAAAGUUCGAUGACGGUUAUAUUAUGAGUUUAUGUGUUUUGAUGUACCGAAGGUAGUUCGGAGUCCCGGAUGAGAUCGGGGACAUGACGAGGAGUCUCGAAAUGGCCGAGACGUAAAGAUCGAUAUAUUGGACGACUAUAUUCGGACUUCGGAAAGGUUCCGAGUGAUUCGGGUAUUUAUCGGAGCACCGGAGAGUUACGGGAAUUCGCCGGAGAGAAGUAUUGGGCCUUAUUGGGCCAUACGGGAAUAGAGAAGAGAGGCCAAAAGGAAGGAGGCGCGCACCCCCCCUCUGGUCCGAAUUGGACAAGGGGUGCAGCCCCCUUUUCCUUCUCCCUCUCCCCCUCUUUCCUUCUCUCCUACUCCAACAAGGAAAGGAGGAGUCCUACUCCCACCGGGAGUAGGACUCCCCCCUUGGCGUGCCCUCCUCCUUGGCCGGCCGCCUCCCCCCUUGCUCCUUUAUAUACGGGGGCAGGGGCACCCCAUAGACACAACAAUUGAUCUCUUGAUCUCUUAGCCGUGUGCGGUGCCCCCCUCCACCAUAAUCCACCUCGAUUAUAUCGUAACGGUGCUUAGGCGAAGCCCUGCAUCGGUAGAACAUCAUCAUCGUCACCACGCCGUCAUGCUGACGGAACUCUCCCUCAAAGCUCGGCUGGAUCGGAGUUCGAGGAACAUCAUCGAGUUGAACGUGUGCAGAACUCGGAGGUGCCGUGCGUUCGGUACUUGAUCGGUCGGAUCGUGAAGACGUACGACUACAUCAACCGCGUUGUGCUAACGCUUCCGCUUUCGGUCUACGAGGGUACGUGGACACACUCUCCCCUCUCGUUGCUAUGCAUCACCAUGAUCUUGCGUGUGCGUAGGAAUUUUUUUGAAAUUACUACGUUCCCCAACAAGCUCGCUAUAGCUAUUAGCAGUAGCGAGCUUGCACGCAGCACGCUGCUGCUACACUUGUAUAGCAGUAGCGUGGGCGCGCACGCGCUGCUGCUAAGGGUUAGCUGUAGCGCCUUAUUAGUAGCGCCGGUCCCCGCACUACUGAUAUACCUAGAACCCGCGCUGCUGCUAGACUUUUCCCUAGUAGUGUCUACCUUCCGCUGCAUAUCAAUAGGUUCAUUUCUAUCGUUUGUCUUCAAAUACCUCAUGUUUUGAAGAAUUUCAUAAAAAUUGCCUAUUCACCCCCCUCUAGUCGAUAACAAGCACUUUCAAUUGGUAUCAAAGCAAGGUGCUCCCUUGUUCUGUGUGAUUCAGUUUAACCACCUGGAGUUUUAGCUAUGUCGUCUGCAUGGAUAAUCAAGGUCUCCGCUGCGUGUCGUGUCUCCGAUUACCCCUACUAGAAGAAUAACAUGCGCAUGCAUCUUGAAGCCAUUGACGUCGACCUCUGGUAUGUCGUCAAGAAUGGUGUUCCCAAGGUCGGUGAAGGUGUCACCACUGCUGAUGUCAAGAGGUUCAUUCAAUUGGAUUCAACUGCCAAGAACAUCAUCUGUGGUCAUCUGACCAAAGGACAGUACGGCCGUGUGAGUGCACUGGAAACUGCGAAGCUAGUCUGGGACUGGCUCUCCAAGGUCAACGAAGGCGUCUCAACUCAGAGAGACUCAAGGAUUGAUGUUCUUCGCAACCUCUUCAACCGCUUCAAGAGAAACGACAAUGAGAAUGUCCAGCUCACAUUUGAUCGCCUCACUGAUAUCACAAAUGAGCUUCGCGCACUUGACGCCACUGAGAUCACCAAUCACGAAAUCGUCAAGAAGCUUCUAAGAUCACUUGACAGCUUAUUCGACACCCUGGCGCUGAUGAUUCAAGAAUGUCCUGGCUUCUAGACUCUCGAUCCGUCUGACAUACUUGAGAGGCUCGGCACACAUGAGUUCCAGUUAUCUGAGAAGAGAGACAUCUAUGGCCCCAACUAUGGCCAAACCCGGGCUUUGAAGGCAAAGGUUGUGUCCUCAUCUGAAGAAGAAUCUGCUCCAGUUCUGGUGAUCUUGAAGACAUUGGAAAGGAGCUAGCAAUGCUCGUGAAGAAGUUCCAGAAGUUCUCCAAGAAGAAAGGUUUUAGAAAGUCUUCAAGAUCCAGCUCAAGAAAUGAUGAAGCUUCUACUCAUGACCACAAGAAGAGAACAUGCCACAAAUGCAAGAAAACUGGUCACUACAUCUCUGAGUGUCCUCAAUGGGACAAUGAGACCAACAACAAGAAGAAGAAGAGAAAAGAAUAUGAUUCUGAUGACAAGAAGAAGAAGAAAUCCUCAAAGUCUUCUUCAAAGUCUUCAUCUCACAAGAAGAGCUCAUCAAGCAAGGCUCGUGCAUUUGUUGGCAAGGAGAUGGAUUCAGAGGAGGAGUCUGCUUCUGAGGAGGCGGAGGUGGAGUCUGAGGAGGAGUCCGAUUCAGGCGUGGCAAGCCUGGCUCUGGCUUCAGCGUAUGUCGCCAAGUCCAUCUUCAACACCGAAGACAAUGGCCUCGUCGCCGAUGCCGAUGCUGAUGAUGAGGGUGACUCUGCUCCUACCUACUGCUUCAUGGCACGUGGUGCCAAGGUAAACUCACGCGAUGCUUACUUUCAAACAUCCAGUGAAGAUGACUCUGAAAGUGAAUCUAAACCUAGCUACAAAACACUUGCUAAAAUUGCAACUGAACAACAAACUGCUAUGGAACAUAUUCAAAAGUUGCUAGACAAAAACGAUGACCUGUUGGACGCAGAAAUGACUCAAACUCAGUCCUUAAUUGAAGACAUAAAAAAUCUUCAUGUUAAGUACGAGGAACUUGAAAGUCGUCAUGAAACACUCUCAACUAUUCAUGAGAAGCUUUCCUAUGAUUAUCUUCAAAGGAAGCAAGAACUUGAGAACUUGAGAGCGACUCAUGAAGAUCUUCAAAAGGAGAACGAGUCACUCCGCGCUCAACAGACCAGUUCCGCUCAGGAAGGUUUUUAGCCACCAUGUCUAAAAUGUCUUGAGCGUGAUAAUGCUAUCUCUGUUGCUAAAUGUUCUACUGCGGCUACUAUUGCAAUAUCUUCAACUGCUGAUGUGGUAACUAACCCCUCUACUGAGGAUACCACUACUAUUGCUGAUGAGAAUGCCAGGUUGAAGACAUUGCUUGAAACAGGGAUGUACAAAAGCCUCAAAGGGUAUCAGACACUAUGUGAUGUCCUCAAGAAGCAGAUUCUGAACCAAAACCCUAGGAAAGAGGGUGUUGGAUUCGAGAGGAAAAUGAAUGUUGAUGGUUCAUACUGGAAGCCUGAGCAGUACCCCAAAACCACACAGGUUGCUGUAAAGGGACCUUCAGUGGAUCCAUCUACCUUAUCUGGCUCCACUUGUGCUAACCCUAUUAUCAAUUAUGAUUCCUUUGAUGCAAACUAUAAACUGUUUAAGAAUCAGAAUGGUGAAGUGUUUGCCAGGUAUAUUGGUACUAAUUGCAGGAAUGGACCACCUUUGAAGAAGAUCUGGGUGCCCAAAAGUUGUCUGGAGAAGCUUCCUGUGAAUGUCAUCAUGACACCACCUGGGAAAAAGACAAACCCCAGACCAAAGGCUUCCUAUGGUCCAAAGGCUUCAUACAGACAGAGGACUCAUCCGGGUCACCUUAACACCAAUGUUUUGCAGGGAAACCAUACUCAGACUUAUGAAUAUGAGCGUGUUUCGUCAAACCGCUAUGUUCAUAAGACCAAGAACUUUCCUGCUUAUUCUUAUGAGUAUUAUUCACCUCCUGCAAGGCUAUUUGCUAGGGCUCCAAAGCCAAAGUUCUCAUAUGCUGCACUUAGACUCAUUGCUUCUAAGCCACCCCUGAAGAUGUGGGUGGUUAAGAAAAAUUAACUCUCUUUUGCAGGGAAAGGUCUCCAGCCGGAAAUCAAAGGCUUCUGAUGCUUAUGCUGGGGACCUAAAACAUCUUGUGGGACGCAAGAUAAAAUGUCAAAAUGGUCUUACUAUGUAUUUCGUCCCGGGAUUUCUUGACAAACAUCCUAUCUACCCUAACCAGGAUCUGAACUUUGAUAAUAUGCUUGUUCGUCACAUGUUUAUGCUUCACAUUUCCCUUGGUGAAGCCUAUCCCCCAAACUGCACUGUAGGGUACGACACCAAAGGCUUCUGAGUGGAUCAUGGAUAGUGGAUACACUAACCACAUGACUGGUGAUCGAAGUCUUCUUAUGGAUUCAACCCUACGUCCAUCUGACAAAAGUCACAUCACAUUUGCUGAUACUGGUAAAAGCAAGGUAUUGGGCCUAGGUAGAGUUGCAAUCUCAAAGGAUCAGCACAUGGAUAAAGUGAUGCUUGUUGAAUCCCUUGGUUUCAACUUAAUGUCUGUCUCAAUGCUUUGUGACUUGAACAUGAUUGUGAUAUUUGGAAAAUAUCAUUGCCUUGUGCUUAUGGAAUCUGACAAAUCUCUAGUCUUCAAAGGGUAUCGAAAGGAUGAUCUGUACAUGGUAGAUUUCUCAGCAGGACCACAGUUGGUUGUAUGUCUUCUAGCAAAAGCUUCAGAGUGCUAGCUCCGGCAUCGGACGCUAGGACAUGCGGGCAUGAGGAACCUGUACACUCUCGCGAAAAAGAAGCAUGUUAUAGGCAUCGAGGGCGUCAAGUUCAAGAAGGAUCAUCUGUGCGGUGCCUGCAAAGCUGGAAAGAUGACUCGGGCCAAGCAUCCCUCGAAGACAAUCAUGACGAUGACACGUCCCUUCGAGCUGCUUCACAUGGACUUAUUCGGCCCUACUCACUACUCUACCCUCACUACCACUGCUUGCCUCUAUGGCUUCAUCAUUGUUGAUGAUUACUCAAGAUAUACAUGGGUGCACAUAAUUCUCUACAAGACUGAAGUGCAGGAUGUCUUCAGAUGAUUUUCCAAUCGUGCCAUGACCAACUAUGGCAUCAAGAUCAAGCACAUUCAAAGUGACAAUGGCACAGAAUUCAAGAACACUGGCCUCGACACUUAUCUUGAUACAUUGGGCAUCACACAUUAGUUCUCGGCUCCAUACACACCUCAGCAGAAUGGCAUCAUGGAGCGCAAGAACAGAACCCUCAUUGAGAUGGCACGGACGAUGCUUGAUGAGUACAAGACUCCAAGGAAGUUUUGGCCUGAAGCUAUUGAUAUUGCAUGCCACGUCAUAAAUCGUGUUUAUCUUCACAAGUUCUUAAAGAAGACAUCAUAUGAGCUCCUGACUGGUAAGAAGCCAAACGUCAGCUAUUUCAGAGUAUUUGGUGCUAGGUGCUAGAUCAAGGAUCCACAUCACACUUCAAAAUUUGCACCUAAAGCACAUGAAGGUUUUAUGCUUGGCUACGGAAAGGAUUCACACUCCUACAGAGUCUUCAACCUCUUUCACUAUAAAGUGGUUGAAACUGUGGAUGUGCGGUUCGAUGAGACUAAUGGCUCGCAAACAGAGCACCUGCCAAAUGUGCUAGAUGAAGCUACACCAAGUGAGUCUAUCAAGCUUAUGGGUACUGGAGAAAUCAUACCGUCAGAGGCACAUGCUGAAGAGGAAAUCUUCAUUUCUGCACCUAACUAGCCUGAAGACACUUCUCAGCCUGAAAACAAUGCUGAAGACGAAAACAAUGACCAGCUAGAGAAAAAUCUUCGACCAGUUCAUCGUCGUGUUGCAAAUGAAGUACAGAUUGAGAAGAUUAUUGAUAGCAUCAAUGCACCUGGUCCACUCACCCGUUCAAGAGCGACACAACUAGCAAAUUUCUGUGGGCACUUUGCAUUUGUCUCGAUAUCUGAACCCAAGCAAGUUGCUGAAGCCUUCAUGGAACCUGAAUGGAUUCAAGCUAUGCAAGAAGAGCUUCAACAGUUUGAGCUGAACAAUGUAUGGGAGCUGGUAAAGCGUCCAGAUCCCCGCAAGCACAAUAUCAUCGCACCAAAUGGAUCUAUCGCAACAAACAAGAUGAGCAUGGUCAAGUUGUCAGAAACAAGGCUCGUCUCGUUGCUCAAGGUUACACACACGUUGAAGGGAUUGACUUCGAUGAAACAUUUACUCCUGUGGCUAGGCUUGAAGCCAUUCACAUACUGCUUGCCUAUGCCAACCACAACAACAUUCUUCUAUACCAAAUGGAUGUAAAGAGUGCCUUCCUCAACGGCAAAAUUGAAGAAGAAGUGUAUGUUGCAAAACCACCUGGUUUUGAAGACCCAAAGCGUCCUGACAUGGUAUACAAGCUCAACAAGGCACUGCAUGGCCUCAAACAAGCACCUCGCGCUUGGUAUAACACACUCAAAGACUUCCUGAAGAGCAAAGGCUUCAAACCUGGUACUCUAGAUCCCACUCUCUUCAAGAAGACAUAUGAUGGUGAACUGUUUGUAUGCCAAAUCUAUGUGGAUGACAUUAUCUUCGGCUGCACUGACAAGAGAUACAGUGAUGAGUUUGGGCAUAUGAUGCAAGAGCAAUAUCAGAUGUCCAUGAUGGGUGAGCUGAAAUUCUUCCUUGGUCUUCAAAUUUGUCAGCAGAGCAAUGGCAUCUUCAUUUAACAAGAAAAAUAUCUCAAAGAUUGCCUGAAGAAGUUUGGAAUGCAGGACUGCAAAGGGUACACGACGCCAAUGCCAACCAAGGGUCAAUUGGGUCCUGACGACAAUGGUAAAGAGUUUUAUCAAAAGGUAUACUGCUCCAUGAUUGGUUCUUUACUCUACUUAUGUGCAUCUAGGCCAGAUAUAAUGCUUAGCAUUUGCAUGUGUGCCCGAUUCCAAGCAGCACCAAAGGAAUCGCAUCACUUAGCAGUGAAGCAAAUUCUUCGAUAUUUGGCUUACACCCCAACACUAGGAUUAUGGUAUCCAAAGGGCUCAGAGUUUGAUCUAGUUGGAUUCUCAUAUGCUGAUUAUGCUGGUGACAAGGUUGAUCACAAGUCCACAUCAGGAACAUGUCACUUUCUUGGACGAUCUCUUGUCUGUUGGUCUUCAAAGAAGCAGAACUGUGUAUCCCUCUCCACUGUUGAAUCCGAAUAGAUUGCUGUUGGAUCUUGCUGCGCUCAGCUUCUAUGGAUGAAGCAAACCCUCAAGGAUUAUGGCAUCCACCUUAAGCAUGUGCCACUCUACAACGACAACGAAAGCGCCAUCAAGAUUGCCAACAAUCCAGUUCAACACUCAAAGACAAAGCACAUUCAGAUCCGUCAUCACUUUCUCAGAGAUCAUGUCAUGAAGGAAGAUACUGAUAUCAUUCACAUCAACACUGAAGAGCAAUUGGCAGAUAUCUUCACAAAGCCCUUGGAUGAGAAAAGGUUUUGCAAGUUGCUGUGUGAGCUAAAUAUCUUAGAAUCCUCAAAUGUCCUGUGAUUGGACACACAUCCUAAUGCUUAUGCAUGUUGAUGACUUAGAUGCGGAACACAUGAAGUAACGUAUAUCUUCAAUCAUUGAAGACAUACACUCUAAGUGUGAAUACAUUAACAUGGAAUUUGACUUCGGAGCGCCAUGAUAAUUGUGCGCCGUGUCUGGGUCUAAUACUUCCUAUACGGUGGGUAACGCCACCACCAAACUUUCUCGAAGAUUUUCUUUUGGCGUCCUGAUUGCAUUAUCUUCGCAUUUGGUUUGUCUUCAACAUUGAUUUGUCUUCAAGAUUUAUCUUCGCAAUGUUGAUUUGGUCUUUUCUGAUAUAUACAUAUAUAUAUGGUGUUCUAUCCUCUACAGCAUUCACUUAUAGCUGUGUCUUCAAACCUGCCAUUUUCUAAACUAAGUGAAUGUGAUCGGACCCUAACCCCUUCUAUGCUUCUUCCUCAAACUCUAUCUAUCUAGUCAUAUGCAUUCUGUUGAAACGUGUCAAAUGUCUUCACCGCGUCCUUAUCAGCUGAAGAUACAGAGACACAUAUUUAAACCUGCUUUCAAAUGCUAUAUCUCUUUUGCCUGAAUACCGGAGAAGCCGAAACGACCACCGGACAAACCAGGCGUGCAUGGGAACAUGGAUCAACCUUCAAAGAGUUGCAUGCACGCCACGUGUCCACCAGGGGCACCUGCGUAAUUGCGCUGUGCAGCCCUUUACCCUAUAAAUACUCACCCCACGUGGUCAUUAUCUCCUCUUCCACCUCGCCACCUCGCUCAAACCCUAGCGCCACCGCUAGCUCGCGUCGACGCCGGAGACGAAGCGCUUAGCUGUCGCAACUUCUUCGACGCCGUCCUCAUGCCGGCAGUGGACCUCGUCUUCUCUGCCGCCGCUGUAGGUGUCUUCCGCCGCCGAGUUAGGGCGCGGGAGAUUGACUGCUCGGCUUCCUUCUCUACCUCAUCUAGCAGUUCGUCUGUGGUAAUUAAAUCUCACUUUUUACUGUCUUUUUGAUCCGUCAAAUCCAUCCACUUCAUCCAAAAGUGGUUUCUACAUUUCCAAAUCUGGAUAUGUCUUUUUCUGCAUCUCAUAUCAUGCUAAGGGUAUUCACUUAUGCUUCAUAACUACUUAGAUUCCUCACUUGUACCUGUUCAUGGAUUCGUACAAAUCUGGAACCAACUCUCUUCAAAUAAGUGAAUGUCUUCGCACUAUGAGGUCAAUGUCUUCAAACUGAUUUAUCUUCAAAAUCCUCUGAGGAUGCAUAUGACCUCUUCCCUUCCCUCGCAUCUCUAGCUAAUGCUGUCACAGGUACAUGUUCGUGGGAGAAACCCUUGGUUCUCAUAGUUUGCAUUCAUUUGCAGAGUUCUUACAACAUCAUAUUGACUCUCUAGAAGCCAGUUCUUGUCUAAGCAGUAGACGGAAGCCUUUCACAGUUCUGAAGCCUAUCUACUUGAAUAUCACGGCCACAAAGAAGUCUGCUAGGAAAGGUGGCAGGCAGCGCCAUGGCAAUACAACUCUAGAUCUGCCUCUAGAUUUGUAUGAACUAUACAAGACAGAUCCUGAGGAGAACUAUGGUACGUCCAUUUUGCAUCAUGCUUUUAUAUCGACAUUUAUUGCAUUAUGGGCUGUUAUUACACAUUAUGUCACAAUACUUAUGCCUUUUCUCUCUUAUUUUACAAGGUUUACAUAAAGAGGGAGAAUGCCGGCAGCUGGAAUUCUUUGCUGGAAAAGGAGCAAAUAUUAGAGACCUAUUCUGCACAACUCCAAAAGUCCUAAAACUCCACGAAAGUCAGUUUUGGAAUAUAUUAAAAAUAUUGGGUGAAGAAAGCACCAGAGGGGGGCCACCCACUGUCCACGAGGGUGGAGGGCGCACCCUACCCCCUGGGUGCGCCCCCUGCCUCGUGGGCCACCUAGAAGCCCCCUGAUGCCCAUCUUCUGAUACAAGGUGUCUUUUGCCGUGGAAAAAAUAAGAAGAAAGCUUUUGGGACGAAGCCCGCCGUCUCGAGGCGGAACCUUGGGAGAACCAAUCUAGGGCUCCGGCGGAGCUGUUCUAUCAGGGAAACAUCCCUCCGGGAGGGGGAAAUCUUCACCAUCGAUCCUCUCAUCGGGAGGGGUUCAAUCUCCAUCAACAUCUUCAGCAGCACCAUCUCCUCUCAAACCCUAGUUCAUCCCUUGUAUCCGAUCUUUGUCUCAAAACCUCAGAUUGGUACCUAUGGGUUGCUAGUAGUGUUGAUUACUCCUUGUAGUUGAUGCUAGUUGGUUUAUUCGGUGGAAGAUUAUACAUUCAGAUCCUUUAUGCACAUUAAUACCCCUCUGAUUAUGAACAUGAAUAUGAUUUGUGAUUAGUUACGUUUGCUCCUGAGGACAUGGGAGAAGUCUUGUUAUAAGUAGUCAUGUGAAUUCGGUAUUCGUUCGAUAUUUUGAUGAGAUGUAUGUUGUCUUUCCUCUAGUGGUGUUAUGUGAACGUCGACUACAUGACACUUCACCAUUGUUUGGGCCUAGGGGAGGCAUUGGGAAGUGAUAAGUAGAUGAUGGGUUGCUAGAGUGACAGAAGCUUAAACCCUAGUUUAUGCGUUGCUUCGUAAGGGGCUGAUUUGGAUCCAUAUGUUUCAUGCUAUGGUUAGGUUUACCUUAAUUCUUCUUUCGUAGUUGCAGAUGCUUGCGAGGGGGGUUAAUCAUAAGUGGGAUGCUUGUCCAAGGAAGGGAAGUACCCAAGCACCGUUCCACCCACAUAUCAAAUUAUCAAAGUAACGAACGCGAAUCAUAUGAGCAUGAUGAAAACUAGCUUGACGAUAAUUCCCAUGUGUCCUCGGGAGCGCUUUCCUUUAUAUAAGAGUUUGUCCAGGAUUGUCCUUUGCUACAAAAAGGAUUGGGCCACCUUGAUGCACCUUGUUUACUUUUGUUACUUGUUACCCGUUACGAAUUACCUUAUCAUAAAACUAUUUGUUACCGAUAAUUUCAGUGCCUGCAGAGAAUACCUUACUGAAAACUACUUGUCAUUUCCUUCUGCUCCUCGUUGGGUUCGACACUCUUACUUACCGAAAGGACUACGAUAGAUCCCCUAUACUUGUGGGUCAUCAAGACUCUUUUCUGGCGCCAUUGCCGGGGAGUGAAGCGCCUUUGGUAGGUGGAAUUUGGUAAGGAAGAAAUUUAUAUAGUGUGCUGAAAUUUACUGUCACUUGUUACUAUGGAAAAUAAUCCUUUGAGGAGCUUGUUCGGGGUAUCUUCACCCCGACCAGUAGAGCAAAGAGUUUCUCCUCAACCUAUUGAACCUACUGAAAAUGUUUACUUUGAAAUUCCUUCGGGUAUGAUAGAGAAACUGCUACCUAAUCCUUUUACAGGAGAUGGAACAUUACAUCCCGACAUGCACCUAAUCUAUGUGGAUGAAGUUUGUGGAUUAUUUAAGCUUGUAGGUAUGCCCGAUGAUGUUAUCAAGAAGAAGGUCUUCCCUUUAUCUUUGAAGGGACAGUCAUUGACAUGGUUUAGGCUAUGUGAUGAUAUUGGAUCGUGGAACUACAACCGAUUGAAAUUGGAAUUUCAUCAGAAGUUUUAUCCUAUGCAUCUGGUUCAUCGUGAUCGUAUCUAUAUAUAUAAUUUUUGGCCUCACGAAGGAGAAAGUAUCGCUCAAGCUUGGGGGAGGCUUAAGGCAAUGUUAUAUUCAUGCCCCAAUCAUGAGCUCUCAAGAGAAAUUAUUACUCAAAUUUUUUAUGCUCGGCUUUCUCUCAAUAAUCGCUUCAUGCUCGAUACUUCUUGUACUGGUUCUUUUAUGAUGAAGACAAUUGAAUUCAAAUGGUAUUUAUUGGAAAGAAUUAAACGCAACUCUGAAGAUUGGGAACUCGACGAAGGUAAGGAGUCAGGUAUAACACCUAAGUUUGAUUGUGUUAAAUCUUUUAUGGAUACCGAUGCUUUUCGUGAAUUUAGCACUAAAUAUGGACUUGACUCUGAGAUAGUAGCUUCUUUCUGUGAAUCAUUUGCUACUCAUGUUGAUCUCCCUAAGGAGAAGUGGUGUAAAUAUCAUCCUCCCAUUGAAGCAAAAGUAGUUGAACCUAUUAAAGUUGAAGAAAAGACUAUCACUUAUAAUGUUGAUCCUAUUGUUCCUACUGCUUAUAUUGAGAAACCACCUGUUCCUGUUAGAAUAAAGCAUCAUGAUAAAGCUUCAACUGUGGUUCGUAAGAGUAAUGCUAGAAUACCUACACCCCCUGAGCAAAUUAAAGUUGAACCUAGUAUUGCUAUGGUUAAAGAUCUCUUGGUCGAUAAUAUUGAUGGGCAUGUUAUUUACUUCUAUAAUUAAGCUGCUAGAAUUGCUAGACCUGAUACUAAAAAUAAACA